rnacentral:lncRNA from 1 species
UUUUUUUUUCUGGUUCCAAAGUUCAUUUAGUCCACGUACUGAUAGCAGCUUUUCUAUUUUAUUUUUUACGAAUGAAAGAAUGCAGCAGAUACUGGCCAGCAAUGGUAUAAAUUAUAAUAUAGCAGUGCUAGUACUGCAGCUGAUCAGCCUUAUUAUUACUUGAAUAAGAAAAGAUGAUGCGAUUGAGAGCCUAAUUGAGGUGCUGUCCAGUCGCUGACCAUAUGAUACACAUGCGGGCCGGGGUACCACCGACACGAUCCGAUUCGAUCCGAUGCGACAAAUGCAACGCACGAUCGAAGCACCUCCGAUUCUGAAUAUCCUCCCACACGCGACGUCGCGUGGGCAUAUUGCUGGUGCGGCAAGCCUGACGUGCUUCGUGACCUUCUCCUUGGCCGUGUAUAAAUCGGGUACUCGCUGAUGGAACGAGCACUCACCAGUCGCCACUAAAACCAUCAAGCCAGCCAAGAAGCUUGGAGAGCUCGAUCAGAGUCUCAGACCCGGUGCGCGGCGCAACUACUGUGCAAUAGCAAGCGCUUAGCGCAACUCCACACAGCUCGCAGAAGCUCCCAUGGCCAGCUUCGCCUCGCAGCUCAAGGACAUGUUCUUUGGCCUCGUCGAGCGCGUCACGGGCUACGGCGCCUCCCGCGCCGAGGCGGAUAGGGUUUCCCGGACUGAGGAACGAGUGCCUGUGGUGCAGCCCCACGAGAUCAGGCCAAGAAGCUCCGUCGAUCCCCCCGUGUCAGGAGGCUCACAGGUUCCGGUUAAUUGAUUGAUGUCGAGGGCUACCUGGCUGAAACAUCGCCUUCGCUACACACGGUUCCCGGGCUGGCGCUGCUGGGAGGAUGACGCCUGCCGGCAGGUGCUUUUGCUCCUCGUUGUGUGCGUCCCAGCCGUGUGCAAUCCUUUUGAUUUGCUUGCAUGCAUUGUGAUCAACUUAGCGUGUUCGUCUUGUAAUUGCAUUGUAUCCCCUCUGAGCGUGUGGGCUUGCUAUAUCUUCUUGGCGUCUGCCGUGCAUGUUUCUCGCUUGGGCUACUUGUAAUGAUAAUAAAUGUUCAUGGAGUUAGUAAUUUGAAUAUUUGAUAGACCCUUUCUCAAGCUUCCAGCAGUGUAUCAAUGAGGCUGAGCUCUAAGCAGAGGGCGGGCUUCAAUCUUCUUAUUGUCGGAUUUUGUUCAGUCACAAGCAGGUCCGUCAUCAGCUUAGUGUCUAUGGGCCUUGGACGUUUUUCAGUCAGUGCGUAUCUAUAUAUAGUCUCAUUUUACAGUGAGUCUGCCUGAUGGUUCUUAGUCCAAGUUGGCAUCGUGCUAAGUUUUUCUGUAAUAUCUGUUUCUUGAUGAAAUAUGCCAAGAACUCAACGUAGAAAAAGAAAUGAGCUUAUGUGGGCCUUUGAAAAUUUUGGUUGGUAGUCCCAAGUAAGCAUCGUGAGGAAGCACCGUGAGCCCAAAGGGGACGCAACGGAACGAACGGGAGCUAGAAAACUUGCAUCUAAAUGCAGCUUCUCAGCAGACUGCAGAAACCUCAAAUGUACCGGAAUCUCCACAAGUUUGAAAUCUCCAUAAAAAAUCUUCACAAUAUCAAAAUAACCCCGUAACAAGACUUUGAUGCGGAGUCUAUUUGCAGCCUUUUAGGCUACAAACUUGGAUGAUGCCACUUUUGCUUAAAUUUCCAUUUCUUUGUAAUUAAAUGAAAAGUACGUGGAAUUAUUUGAAACAUAAAAGUAUUUUCUAGGUAUAAUUUAAAUAACGAUAGGUUAUAAAAUAAAUGGAGUGACCACACAAGAUGAAACAUGCAACCACAAGAACUAGAUGGGCAAUGGUCUUAGCUGAUUAAAGUAGGGUACUCCAGCGGCCUGUACUGUUAGGUUGAACUGAUGAGGGGCUUGGUCCACUGGAAAGUUUGGCAUGGCUCGAUGAGGGGUCUUCGGACCUAGAGCAUGGUUAAUCGCACGGGAGAACCUAUAUAAAGGCUUUAUAGUGUACCUAGCCCAUAUACAUCUCAGCAAUGUAUGAAGGGAUUUGCAAUCCCUGACAUUAUUAAUGGGCAAUAUGACUCAUUGGUAAAAUUGUGCAACCUUUGCGUAGUGUUAAAAACUGUUAUAACAACGAAUCAAUGAUGCUCAUGAUCAAGUUGGUGUAGUUAUAAGUGGGUUAACCUUAAGUUGAUUUUGAUUGUGAAGUCUCGCAACAGUAAUAAUAUAUUUAAUUACUUAAUUAAAAUAAAAUCUUCCUUGUGAUUAAGCCGUACAUAUCAUAUAUAGUUUUCCACACUUAUGGAGGUCAUCUACGCGUGUUCACUCUUCCUAGGGAUAUGAAGAAGAAGAAGCCAUAUCAUGAAGAUUUGGAAUACUAGGCUAGCGUACCCUAAUAAGUUGACUGCCUUCCGCUGAAAUAGACUACUAUGUGUAAUCUAUUAUUUUAGACCUUAUGAUCGUUUUGUAAAUAAUUAUAUGCUUCAUAAUGGGUAUUGUUAUGUUAUUAACUGAGAAAGUCACUAUAUGCAUGAAAAUUUAAUCAUGGAUAUGUAUAUAUAUGGACAUCACUCGGUUUUAUCCUUAAUAAAAAAGGGACUUGAAAAGGAGUUUUUAGGGCCCUGCCCCCUAUGUUGGCGCUUGUUAUAGGCACAUUUUAAGUGUUGUUUUGGUGAUAACUCCGUACUGAUACGAUCACGUUGUACUGAUACGACUUGUUAGAUCAUUAUUAGUCACGUCAUCCGUUGCAUCAUACUGUCAUCACACAGAGUGGAUGAGUACACACUGGCACUAUGGGCAAUCACCAACCAACCAUGAUCAAGAGAUUAGCGAGACAUACACGAUGUUUACAGGGGGAGCGCGCGCAAGAACUUUCGAGUCGGUCCUGGGCCGGAAAGCUAAGUUUUGUUUUUUGAGACCCGGCCGGAAAGCUAAGUGGUAGGUGCUGUGCAGGCACGCGCGCAUGGGCCUUGGCGCCUUGCGGCCUCGCCAGACGGUAAAGGCAACGCCAGCAACAAUCAGUUAAGCUCGGUAAGAAGUUUAGAGUUCAGACUUCAUACCGGUGGCACGUAGUAGUGGCUUCACUCUUCACUGUACGUAGUAGCUGGUGAUAACUCGAGCGCUCUUCCAUGGCCAGCAUUGCCGCGCAGCUGAAGGACAUGCUCUUCGUCCUCGUCGAGCGCGUCACGGGCUAUGGACGUGACGAAAACCAGAAGGAUUGACUUAUAUGUUGACUAUCCUCGUCGAGCGCGUCACAGGUAACGUAUACAUUGACUAUGCAUGAGGUGACACCCUGAUGAAUUUGAGAAAAGGUCUAGCUGAGAUCGAAAACAGUAGGUUGAGUUAGCUGUUUGACGUCUCCUCUUUACCUACUGCAGGUGCAAAAGAGGCCACUCGGACUGAAGAAGUGGCUGCGGUAGAGCGCGUUGUGAUCAGAGCAUGAAGCGUGGAUCCCACUGUGUCUGCAGUGUCACAGCCCGGGGUGGUUUAGGUCAUUGUCUUUGCAGACUGCAGGGUGGUUCCCUGCCCUUGAGAUGACAUUGCUCUGUGUCCGUGUGCUUAAGCAAUGACAUUGCAAAUGUGUGUCCCACUUGCUGUAAUCCUUUUUAUUUCGUUCAUUGCAAUUCUGACGCUGCUAGCGGUCUAAGUUCAUUUCAUUCUACCGCUAGCGAUCCAAGUUGUGUGUCGUGUAUGUUGACCGGACUUGUAAUGUUCAUAAUAAGGCACUUCCAAACUUUCUCCAAGUUUAACCGUAUUUCCCCUAGCAUGACUCGCAUACCUGUCCGCUAACAUAUGCCGCAUGUAUAACCGCGAGAGCGGCAGCUAAUCAUCGGGUGCCCGUUGGCAGACCUCCCCGUUGAGGAAGCUUAAUUUUCUAGGACCAUGACACCAUGUCUAGGGUACUUGAGAAUAUAGAUGGAAAUAAGGCACGAGGCUCGUGGGCUAGCCCAUGGCCCGAAAAUUUGGCCCGGUACCAGCCUGGCCAGGCAUGAUCUUAGCCGUGCUCGGACUGACCCGGUCCAUCCUUAGUGCCUGGCCUGGGCUGUUGCGUCAGCCCGUGGGGCGGGCUGGCCUGGCACAAUUAACGGACGGCAGUUGUAAUUUGUAUAUGUGUUUGUAUGUGCAUUACCUCUGAAUAUCUAUGUUUGUAUGUAUAAUACGUCUAAAUUUUUGCCUUCGAAAAUUUAAUUUGAUGAAGGAUUUUUUUAGCUAAGCCGGGUUAGGAUGGGCACGAUGGGCCUUCAUGGGCCUGAUGGGCCAUCAGGCCGGCCCAGCACGGCUAAUAGCUCUUAGUGUCGGGCCUGGACCGCUGAUUCGGCUGAUGGGCCGGCACGGUUAUUAUCUGGGCGCACCAUGGCGGGUCUAAACGGGCCAGGUCAAACCGUGCUCGGCCAGGCCAGGCCGGACCGCCCGUUUGACUAUCUAUACAUGAGGAUAGCUGCAUGUGUGCAUUAUGACCACUUUGCUCUUAAAAAAAAAAUAGAAAAUUUAGCAACAAGUGUUACAAAAUAAAUUAAUUCAUAUAAUGUUUCUAAAAAUUAUAUAGAUAAAAUUCUCAUUUAUAAAUUAUGUUCUGUAACAAGAAAAUAUAUUAAUUCCUUUUAGAUUGAAGUUAUUUAAAUAUAUUUUUUUCAAAAAUUUAUAGUUAUACCAUUUUCUAAAAAUGUGUAUAAAUAACAAAAGAGUUAUGAAAUACUCUCCCGUCCCAGAAUAUAGCUAUGUUUAAACUUUUUCAAACUCAAACCUUUUCAAUUUUGACUAUACGAAUAGUAAAAUAAUCAUAGAAACUAAUAACGUAGAAAUGAUGUUAGUAGACUUAUCAUGAAACCAACUAUGUAACCUCUGCUAUUUGAAAUAAAUUAUUUUUAAAAAUACUUUUAGUCACAGUUAGAAAGAUUUGAUUUGAAAAAAACUAUACGUAGCUAUAUUUUUUGAAGGGAGUAAGUAAAUUUUACCUUGCCACUUUAGAUCACCAUGACCAAGUGAUGAACACAUCAUCGAUGUGGAGUAACGAGCAUGAUGCCCUGUUUCGAGGUCGAGGACAGGUAGAGGGACAAAUGACUCGAUUUCUCAUGUGGCGCCCGUGACUUGGUAAAGCAAAACAAAUAUAUUAAUGCAAUUUGCUGGUUUCUCACUGACCACACUCUGCAUCAUUCCAGGAAUAUUUGCUCGAUCUGCCAGCCAUCGUAUCAUACCACAGAGAUGUCUAUUAAUAUACGCUGAAAAGUGCCAAGCAAGUGGGCAAAGUGCCAAGCAAGUGGAUGAAGAAUAACCGAGCUGCUCACCAACAAUAUGAUACAUGUGAGAAUGUGAAUGCGUACCGCGCGAUCAGAAAACUCCGUCGUGGGUCUGAGAAAUGACGCGGUUAUUGAACAAUGUCUCCUCGCCCGCGUGGGCCUCCAGUGACGCCGCGCCGUGUAUAAAUGGGGCGCUCGGGGAUAGCGAGAGGACUCACCAGUCGCAGCUCAAACAGCAGAGCAGAUCGUAUAGCUCAGUAGCUCGUAGCAUCAGCGGCUGCUACAGAGCGUUAAGCACACAGCUCCGCAACUCCCUCAACCAACUGUUACGAUUAGCUAGCUCCCAUAUGGCCAGCUACUUCGCCGUGCAGCUCAAGGACAUGUUCUUCGGGCUCGUCGAUCGCGUCACGGGCUAUGGCUGGAGCGAAAGCCAGGAUGGUGCAGGUAAGUGUUCAAGCAUUAUUGCUGCUCUGAAAAAGGGUGGUUUUGAAGCAAGUAGUUGAUUUCUUCUCACUACAUGCAGGUGCACAAGAUGAACCCACCAAGUUGGCAUCUGCAGAGGUCUCUCCGACUGAAGAGGAGGUGACUGUGGUACAGAACAUUCAGAUCAGACCAAGGAGCAGCGCGGAUCCCUUCGUGUCAGGUGGCACGAAGCCUCAGGUUAACUGACAUGAUGAAGCUAGGGACCUAUAGAGAUUAGUCGCAGUCGCAGACUGACUCUAUACGGUGUGCUUGCAUGCUUACAUGGCCUUAGAAGGAGAUGUCCGCUGGUGUUUUUAACUUUUCAAGCAAGGAUGUGUAUCACAGUCCUUUUUCCGUUAUGUAUUUUGAUCAGAGCGUGUUCGACCUCUUAGUUUUUAAUCCCUGUAUGAGUGUGUGAGCUUGUUAUCAACUUGUCAUGUUUUGUUGGCUCAUGGUCGAGCUUGGUAUUAGGUUCUCAUUGUCUGUAUCAUGCAUGUUUGUUGAUCAAACUUGCAGUGCUCGUUAAUAAAGCAUGCAUUAAUCAGUUCGGUCCUUCCUUCAGCUUAAACAGUGUAUAUUUAAAUUUUCACAAAACUCCUGCCUUAUUAGUUGUAUGUGUUCUAUUUACGUGAUUAAACAAGCAAACUCAUCUGUUCUAUUGAUACGAGACGCAUCCAAUCCAAUACCCAUUAUAGUAGGAUCACUAACAGAAUCCAGAAUUGCCUUUGCGGCCAAAAAUCGCCAAGUAAUAUACCAAAACCGCCAAGAAAACAAAUAAAAAAAAACUCAUCUGUGUUCGAUCUAUUGAAUGAGAACAUGUUGUAGUCUAUUUGCAAAACAAGUAAAAAAAAUGUAGGCUACAGCCCCUUUACCACUCCACAAGAAAUGAAAAUAGUCACAAAGUUUCCAAUAAAAUGAUUGAAUAUCAUCCUUUCGAGAGAGAAAAAUUCAACAACAAUGAUACAAACUCCAGUCUACCGUGAUAACAUUCUAAUUUUGGGCACGGUAUACGCAUUGAGAAUAGAAAAGAUGGUAGUAGUGGAAAAGGAUUCCUAAAAUGAAAAGGGAAGCAUAAUAAAAUAAAGUGCCACUAUUCACUGAGAUGUACACAUUUUAGUGUCUCCCUAAUCUCCAUAUAUGCUGCAUUUUAAGUAACUAACCAUGCAGCUUCUCGGAUGUUUUCAAGAAAAUCUGUGUUACUCCUAGAGAAGUGAUAGUGUAUUAAUAUUGUAGCACAAGAAAAAGAAAUCUGGUGACGUAGACUUUGAGAGUGGAUAAGGAGAAAUUUGGAUUUUUCGCCACUCUAAAAAGCAGUGUCUUUCAGUUUCGACACUAAUUUAAAGAUUUUCGACUGUUAGGGCGCCUGAUCAUGCUGCGCCUGCCACUGACAAGCCAACGGAGAAGGUCAAAGCUGGGCCUCGCCGUUCCCUUCGGCCCAUCAUCCCCAAUGUCCGAAUCUCGGGUCUAGAGUGGAAAAGGCCCAUGUAAGUGCUCGCGUGUGAGUUGCGUGCGUGAUGCGCUCAGCUGGAGAUAAAACAGCAGCGCGGCGCCGAUGUGCGCAUGUAUGCAAGAACAAGAUUAAAACUCAUCUAAGCUUCGUCGUUCCUCCUACCUUCUUCUUCUUCCUCAUUACCAAUCCUUUCCACUACUCGGCUGCUAACAUCCUGGUAUCAGAGACACGAUCCUGGAUCCCCUUCCUCCCCACCACCACUUCACGCGUCUGCAGAAACGCGCAGGAGCGAUGGAUCCCAACACCAAAAUCCUCCUCGACGAAAUCCACAAGUGCUUCUCCGACGAACUCCACAAGCGUUUUGCGGAGAGCGACCUCAAGUGGGAGCAUCGUUUCCUGGAAGCGGAGCGCCUCCAUGGUGACCGCAUCGUCAAGCUCGAGGCCGCAGCCAAGGUGUUCGAAGAAUGGCGCCCCCAGGUCGACGCCGCCGUCGAUGCCGUCAAGCUUGAACUCGGCAAGCUGACUCGCCAUUGGGACCGUUCCGUACGCGACUCUGCGUCCGCGGAACCCGGUCUCUUCCCCACGCCUCAGUCGGCGUCCGAGCGCCCAUCUGCUUCGGACCUCACCGCCGACGGCCCUCAUGGGCACCGCGUCGAUCACAUACACCGGGAUGAUGGGUAUGGGUCAGUAUUCACCCAUACCUCAAUCCCGGUCAAGGGUGCGUCUCCCAUCCCCAACCCUACUUUUCCUCGUUCGCAUUCGCGUCCUUAUGGCAAUCAUCAGGAUGAUUUCUAUCAGGAUAGUGUGCAUCUUGGUAAAUUACCCAAACUACAAUUUCCUGUUUUUGAGGGCGACAAUCCUAAAUUGUGGCUAUCUAGAUGUGAGGACUACUUUGAGAUGUACCGCGUCGAUCCUAAAAUUUGGGUUAAGGUUGCUGUCAUGCAGUUUGAGGUAUCUAGUGCCGCCGCUCGUUGGGCUUUAUCAGUGGACAGACAGUUAAAACGGGUUCCCUGGACUGAAUUCAGUGUUAUGUUAAUUGAUAGAUUCGGGCGAGACCAACAAGAGCUCCUAAUCCGACCAUUGUUUCACAUCAAGCAAACGGGCACUGUUGCCGAAUAUGUUGCCAAGUUUACUGAAUUAAUAGAUCAGCUCAUAGCUUAUGGCCACUCUACUGAUCAACUGUAUUACAUCACUCGUUUUAUUGAUGGCUUACGUGAUGAUAUCCGCUCCACUGUUCUAGUUCAGCGUCCUUCCACUCUCGAUACUGCUUGCACUCUUGCUUUGCUGCAGGAAGAAGUGGCGGAUCCUUACAAACGACGGGAUUGGCGUCGUCCUGAACCAGGAUUUCCUCCAAGACCUCCGCCAAGGGGACCAUUACCUCUGCCAACCCCUCCCCGUCUUGACCAUUACCUCCUUCCUCCCAGAACAGGUCGAUGAUUCCUUUUGCCGUUACCAAUUUCCCAAAAAAUGAGAAGAAUUGCGACAUACACCCAAUACCACACUCACAUCAUGAGGUAGUACGUACGUUCCAUCCCUAACGACAACACCACACACCAACAAGCACACGAUGCGAUCGAUCUGUGAUGAGGUCCAUUUUGAAUCAUGCGUACUGGUCAGAGAGCGUGGACGUCACGCGUGCAUGUCUCCCAUGCACUUCUGCCUGUUUUGGGGCCAACUCAUGUGUGGACCCGAUGACUAUAGUAGGACGGCAAACGAGACGAUUUUCUCAUGUGGCGCCAGAGACUUGGGACAGCAAAACAAGAAGAUCAUGUCAUAUUUUAACAAACAUAACAGUGCAAUUUGCCGGCUCAUCUCCCGCUGAUCUAAAGGCAGCCAUCGCGUCGUAGGACAGUGGAUAUACUCGGAGCAGUUGAUGGAGCUCCCUUUACAUACACGAGAAUGAAGAAAAAGAUUAAAGUGAUUAAGAAUGCUAUCGAAAGCAUUAUUGAGGUGCUCGCCAAGACGCCAACCAUAUGAUAAACAUGCAGGACGACGACGAUCCAUCCAGAGACUCUGAUUACGGUCGCGGACAUCCUCGCAUGCACGCGCGUGAUGAAUCAUGGUGAGUGGGUGACCCACAGUCCCACACCACACCUCGAUCGGCAGUACCCACUAGUAAGGCUCUAUUUGACCCUUGAAAUUGAAUCCAUUCUAAUAAUUAUAAUUUAGACAUAAAUUAAUUAAGCUAAUAUAAUUGUACGUGAAAUAUAUUUGUAUAUUAUUGUUAGCCAUAUGAGAGAUACUUAUGGGCUGCAUUUCUGCUACAUUGAAGCGAGUCGAAGAGCGUGCUAUAAGAAUUGAAUUCCAUUCUAAUAAUCAUAAUCUAUAGAAUUAAUUUCCAUCUCCCACCCUAUGAAUUUAACAUAGGCUUAUAUCUAAACUUUGGAAAGUUGUGGAAUCCCACAUUCCAAGAUAAAUUAGCCUAUUCCAUUAAAUAGAUUCCAAUUUCUUCAAAAUGAAGGGAUCCAAACGGGUCUAAAUGGUAAAAAUUUGGUCUACCAUUACUGACGGAUGAGCCCUGUUCAAAAUCAAGGAAUUGCACAGAAGAAAUUUAAAAAUUGGAUGGUUCAAUUUUCCAAGUUUGCAACCCCACGUAGAACUUCAGUCCGUACGGGCCGAUGCAUAGCUAGCAAAAAACCAAACCCAGCAACUUUUACGGCAUGGGCCAAGCUGCAAGGCCGGCCGAGUCUAUCAAGUACGGCCCAGUAUGGGGGCAUUCCUAACUGUGUUUUUGGGCCAUGUAUCCAUUACGGACAACCUCAGCCUAGCCCGUGCUGUAUUUAAUGCGUCACUUUGCACGCUGGAGUACUAAUUAACUUAGGAAAAAGUCCUAUUUGGCCCCCUUGAACCAUCGGCCAAGUCCUCUUAUCCACCCUUAACUUAAAAACCGUCCAUUCGGGUACCUUAAUCUCACAAAACCGGACACCCGACCUCCCAGGCCCGAUUCCAACCCGGUUUUGUCUGAGUUGGAUCCAUGUCAGCUCCACGACCCUAAUCCUACAUGGCAUGGACCCACCUGUCAAUGUCUCUCUUCCUUGUUGACCCACACAUCGUCCUUUUCUCCUCCGCGCAGAAGGCAGAACAGCACCUCCGCUGCCGUCUCGCACGAGCGACAAAGGACGCGCGCGAUACCCUCACCCACCAGAACGAGCCAUGGCCAGGAUGGCCUCCAUAGCCUCGCCACUGCCAAGUUUCUUCUGGACCACCUCGACUGCUGGACGAUUGGAGUUGUGAGCUACGUGCUUGUGUUGGACGGAUUGGGGAGAGGACAUGUAUGAGGCUUCGGUGGAUGUAAUUUGAAGGGGCUGGUGAAUUUCUUGCUCACAGAGAUGGACAGAGGAGGGUGUUGGAGAUUGGUGUGUUGCUGACUCACUGAAAAGAAAUUGGAGCUUGAGAUGCUGGCGUGCUUGGCCAUGGGAGAGGAGAAAGCAGGCAUGGGAGACAGAAGAUAUGACGAAGCGUCUCGCUCAGGUGCGUGUGCCUCGGCCUUGACCCGAGGAAGAUUGGCCAGCCUGGCCAUGCCCACGGCGCACGCCUCCAGCUGCCAUAUCCUCGGAUUCGGGUUCUCACCGUUCGUCGCUGGGGUCCACUUUUUUUUAAUUGUUGACAUGUCAGUGACAAUACAUAGACAUAUCGAAACAGCUGCCAGGUCACUGCCACAUAGGAUAAAACCAUGGUGGAAUCGGGUCAAGGAGGUAACGUAUCCGGUUUUAAUAGCACGAGGUGACAGAACGGACGGUUUUCGAUUCUAGGGUGAAAACGUGGACUCAGCCUUUUAAUCCAGGGAGGUAAAUAAGACUUUUUCCAUUAACUUACCAUCUCACAACACAAGCAUAUCACAUUGUGGAUAUACGGAGUAUUAUACAAUAUGUACUGGCAUCACGAGCUACAAAAUUGUAUAUAUAUCAACUAUUUAAUUUUCGCGUGUUUUCUUACAUGCAUAUGCAUGCUAUAUAGAAAACACACUAGAAUUUUUUUUCAUAGAUAAAAUAUAGUUAAAGGGGUGGAAUGGAACACAAGGUCGUUACAUGUUAUCCCAGAGACCCGGACGUGUGCACAGGACCUGUGAAGCUUUGGCUAUCACACACACAUACUAGCAAUAUCUACAAUAUAUACGUUUUCUAUUAUAUUUUUUCUCUGUUUGAGAUGGGGAUGGUUAGCCUCGUACUCUUUCUUCAUUCAUCCGUCGCCAGGUGUUGUACUGUAUUGCUAUCAAUUAUCGUGAUAGAUACUGAGCUAGCUUUAUUCAUUUUUUCCACAAAAAAAAAGAGAGUACCAUUUGAACACGAUCGAUCUAGGAGCGUCCCUGAUGCGUCAGGUCCCGUUCGUUUUUCUGGACCUGGAGCUCUGAAAGCUCACAAACAUCAGAAAAAACGCGUGCUGCGCGCGUUUUGCUGCAGGCUGCAAAAAGGUCGCAAACUCACCGUGAAUGCGUGAAGAGCUAGCAGCCUAGCAGGAGAGGCGACUUGGACAGCUUGACAACCAGUUGAUGAUUUCUGGACAGGAACCACAGCUCCUGUAAAAGCUAUAGCUUUGCGGCCUCAAAGUUCCGUCUGGUCUCUGGUGCAUCACGAAGCCUCGAAAUUGCCCCUUGAACUUGAAGCUAUGAACAGUUAAUCUAAAUAAUAUCGCGCAUCUCGAUCCAGAAAUUUGCGUACAAUCAUAGUGAUCAAACAUGGAACAGUUCCAGAUUCUCAGUCAUAGUCCACACCUGAUCACCAAACACGUAUGCCGAAUGGCCGCUCUCCCAGUACGCAGGACGAACGGUAGAAAGGUCAGAGGCAAAGCGAAAACCGUCGGAUGGGGAUCGGACGGCGCAGAAGUGUUCCGUGAUCCUGCCGCGCCGAUAGCAACGGCUGUGUCCGAGAACGCCGCCACGUUCGCGCGCCCCACCCACGGCCCCACGCCACCGCCUCGGCGAAGGAACGGUGGCGUGGGCCGCUGGAACACACGGGAACGCGACAAUCUUGCGGCCGCGCGCGAAGCUGACGGGAGAUGAUUCCGGGCUCCAGCCUCCAGGGUCCAUUCACCGCCAGCCGAGCGCACCGGCGCGACGUGUCGGCGUGCGGGCGUCUCGCCGCGGGCCCUCGGCGGCCUCACGAGGCGGGUGUUCACCUUCACCGGGCGGUGAAUGGCCGCGUCGCCCGCCACUCGCUGUCCCAGACGGACAUUCAAAAAGGGUGGCCAGUCGCCGAUUGGUACUCACAGUCACAGAAUCGCGAUCGGAUUCCAAGAAGCCGAGUGAAUCGCAGCUCGUUCAAAUCCGCGGUGCCGUCCAGAGAGAGAACGCACACGGACGAAGCCCGCCAUGGCGGCUGCGGCGCGCGCGAUCGUCUGCGAGAUGGCGCCGCAGAAGGUGGCGGCGGCGGCGUCGGUGCCCGCGCCGCCGAAGAAGCGCGACGCCGGGAAGGUGGUGCUCCAGCCCCGGCUCUGCACGCUGCGGUCCUACGGCGCCGGCAGCGGCGUGGUGACGCGGAGGAUCCUGGCCGGGGAGGAAGAGGGGAGCGGGGCCGCGGACUCGGCCGGCGGCUCCGGCGCCGCCUCCCCGUUCUUCGCGUCGCUGGCCGACUACAUCGAGAGCUCCCGCAAGAGCCAGGACUUCGAGACCAUCUCCGGCCGCCUCGCCAUGGUGAGUGAUGAGACCCCUCUGCUCCUUCCUCCCUUCUCCUUGUUCAGACGUGGCUCUCAGCUUGCACAUGUUGGACUUGGAUGCAUGGUCUGAUCCGGUGCUGGUGCUACUGCAGGUGGCGUUCGCGGCGGCGGUGGCGGUGGAGCUGACGACGGGCAGCUCGCUGUUCAAGAAGCUGGACGCGAUGGAGAUCGAGGAGGCGGCGGGGGUGUGCGUGGCCGUGGUGGCCUGCGCGGCGGCGUUCGCGUGGGCCUCCAGCGCGCGCAACAGGAUCGGCCAGAUGUUCACGCUGGGGUGCAACGCCUUCGUCGACUCCCUCAUCGACAACAUCGUGGAGGCGCUCUUCUCCGAGGGCGAGCUCCAGGACUGGUCCGACGACAUAUGAGUAUGCACGUUUAUACGCAUAAAGACUAGGUAGAGAGUACUGUAUAUACGUAGAGUAUGAGCAAGUAUUUACAGAUAGACCGAGCUGUUGAGAUCCGCAUAUUUCGCAAGCUUCGUCGUUGCUGCACAACGGCAAGCAAGUUGAUCUGAAUUUUUGCUCAGAUUCAGACAUGGAUCUGCAUCCCAGAUUGCCAGACGUGGAUCAUGUUCCUGUUGUUCUGUGAUCAGAAACCUGCAGCCUGCGUAGGAACCCAAGCAGAGUGCCUUUCUGCAGUCAGGCAGUCCUGCAAGGUUGUCAAAUAUGUAGAUCUCUUCAGAGAAAUAGUAUACCGGGGAGGAUCAGCCUUCAGCCCCUUAAGUUAACUGUACCUACUAUUAGACAUACUGAGAUUGUAAUUAGUGACUAAAGCAUGUAAGCAAGACCAUGUGUUUUCUUCAGGAGUCAAAUCUGGAGUGUUGACUCUUGAGAUUAUAUUACGAUGGAGUGGAGAUAAAUCUAUACGCUGUGUUUCCUAUUUGUCCUUCGCUCCAUUACUGUGUGGUAUGUGCACUGAAUCUGAAGAAAUAUCGUCUGUAAUUCUGUAUCGACAGAGCUACAAAUUGACUUUCAUUGCAUUUGCUUGGAGCCUUUUAUCCAUACCAUACUAUCACUGGUCAAACAAGAGCCUUUUAUCUAUAUACAAUAUUAUCAGUGGUCAAACAAUGCACACCCAAACCUACUCUGCCGAACAGAAUUGGAGUUUCAGAUAAGAGAGCCCAUUAGGCGUGUAGUUACAGUACAGAGCAAAAAUCACACCAAAUCAAUAAACUGUUGGCAUUAGUACAUGGACUUGAAAGGCAACAAGAUUGAGGUGCAUAUGGCUACUGGCUACAAUCAUGCAACAUCACUCAGUCCAACCACUCAAGAUCCCCAGCUCUCCCAGGACCAAUGGUUAGUAGCUAGGAUGCCCGAUCUCCUUAAUGGCCAUGAGGCUUUGCUUGCAACAAGAAGCUGAUAAUUUGCUACGUCUGCGUCACAGCUACAUUUGUCAACCAAUCAAGCAAGCCAAUAAACAUGACCAUGAAGCUGUAUUGACAAGUGGCCUACAGUGUUGCACUGAAAACACAAAGAAGGCGAAAGUUUGAAAGCCCACAUUCUGAGGCUGCUACCUGGAGUAAAACCAAUGGCAAGUAGUUCACUACAUCUCCAUGUUGUGGUCUCAAAUUUCCCAUGAGGCUUAACAAUUCCGUACAUCUCAUCUUUGAAUCUUAUCUUCAGAGCCUGCUCUUAGGGGAGAACUACUGAUAAUAAACCACAGAAUGUUCAGAAGCUGUAGACAACUAGCAUUCUCCCACGAUGUGCAGAAUUAUUUUGGUUCAAUAUGGAAGCUCACCAAAUUUGGAGAUAUACCUCUGGACAAACACUCUCUAUAAGUUCAGAACCUUGGACUAAAAAUAGAUGUCAGAGUUGUCCCUCAGCAAACAAGCAGUGACGUUUGCCAUUUGGGCCAAUCAAAGAUCUGAACAAAAGCCUUUAUCAGUAGUCGAAAUUCAGCAAUUACAAGCAGUGGCCGGAAUCUGAUAUGCUAUCCCAAUUCCGGUGAAAUCAAAUGGGCUAGAAAGAAUUAGAUAUGAGAAGGCAGAGGUAUGCUUCAGAUCAAAGUUCAGAGCCACCGACAAGCAACAGCAGCCGCCCUGGCCCCUGGGCGCCGGCCGACUGACGACAUGCCCGAGGGGCUGGCGGGGAUGUACACCGCGUACAACCCCGCCGCGCACUGGCAGGAUGAGUUCCGGUACGACAGCGGGGCGGUGCUGGAGUACGUCCUCGGCGGCGGCGGAGAGGCGGACCAGGGCACGUCGAUGUGGAGCCACCAGAGCUUGUACAGCGGGAGCUCGGGCACCGAUGCGGCGCCCAGGCCGGCGAGGGCAUUGCCGGAGAAAGGCAACGACAGCCUCUGCAGCAGCGGUGGCCACGAGGAGGCGAACAACGUCAAGGGCGACGGCUCCGACAUGUCCGGCCUGUUCGGAUCGGACUGCCGAGAGCAUCUUCGUCUCCUCCCGCACCGCGGAAGACGAAAGGGACACCGAGCCUGACGUUCAGCAGUCCUCCGUGUGGGCUCGUCUGACGUUCACGUUCUUGCCGUUCUCCGAAGAGCACCCACCAUCCUGAGCCCACUGUCCACCUCGCCGGCGGCGAAAUCGACACCAAACGAAUGCGAGCGCGCGGGAACAGCAGAUUCUGAUAUCUGACAGGAGACGUUUAUGUCCUUGCUACUCCAAAUACAAGCUCGAAAUAGCUGAGAAUGCUAACAAGGCAUAACUCUCGAGAGUCUCGACAAUAACCUCAUAUACUUGUCAGUAAACAUCAUGUGUCGUAUUUUAGAGAUUCAGUCGAAGAUGCGAUGGACAGAGAAGACCGGCCUUUUUCAUGUUAGAGCUUGAAUUUAACAUCUUUUUUAAGUUUUCUUCAAUAACCACGAAUCCGAUCAUGUUAUGACACUCAGGUCACAUUGUAAUCAGGAAGCAUUCUCUAUUGCUUCAAUGCAACCCAACAGACUGGCCUUCUGCGACAUUGCCGGACAUAAACGCUUCAUGGGCUACUUUGCUGUUCUUCAGAAGUGAUUCGGCAAACAGGACCUGCAAUGCCAAAAGAACGCCAUGAAUGAACAAUCGAACAUGUAAGUUACGGCAUGGUUCUGCUUCUGCUAGUUCAAGGGAGAUGAACGGAUGACUUACUGCCCAUAUGGUAAGCUUUUUUUUUUUUGCUGAUCUUUGCUAAGUUGAGGCUUAGUUCUCUUUAUGAACCUCUAUAACUAUAAGCAAACAGGAAAUUCUUCAGUUUUUUGAAGAUAUCGCAAAGAGAAUGUGACAUAUGAUAAAUUCGUAAAGAACCUGGAGGGUCAACUAACCUGAGGAAAUUUUGUAGUUGUCAGUAGCUUGCUCAUGAGUAGAGAUAUAUCGCUGUAAGGAUUGCUGGGCUCUGAACGCAUCGAGUUACUGUUUGAUACCGUCGGUAACUAAUUCAUGCGAAUCCUUGCGUGUCACUGCUACGUGCUUGCGUCUACUUCACACGGUGCAGACUGCAAAAGAGGUGCUGAGUCACCCACACAGCCGCACGCGGGCCCCACCAGGUGCGUCGGCCGUGUGCGCAGAAUAUAUCGCCCUCUUCUAAUCGUUUCCCUCUCCAUGUCGGUGCCUCCGUUGCUCUGCUCGCCGCCAGCGGUGCCGCGAUGACGGCAUCCUAUAGCUGCCAUCUUGGCCUCACUCUCCGCUCUGGCGCCGUCACCGGGCUCCUCGGACCCCGGGCUCAGGCUCAGCGUCGUGGCCAUCCUUCUCCACCAGUCACAAAGAAGGCAGCGGCAGUUCACCUAGUGAGCCAGCUGCACGCCGAAGCUGCCGCGCUUGCAGUGGAGACGGCGAUCAGUCGGUGGGGCAGGGUAAAACAGCAGCGAUGGAGGCUGAGCGCGUUAGAGCCACUACAAUCGUUGUGAUCCUCUGGUUCCCCGACUGGGCCGACGACUCCGGAGAGGGCUUCAUCGCCGGAUCCAGCCCGCGGCGUUCUCCUCUGCCUCCUUGACCACGCCCAUCGCCAUCUCCGCCGUAACCAACACCGGCGAUCGCUAGGUUAAAGCUUCUUCUAUCUUUUCUCUCUCCCCUCCUUUCUCCUCGGCACCUCCGCCUCCCUCGCGUCAAGCUCAGAAGCCCGCGGGGCGUGGCUCGAUUCACUCACCGCCAGUGAGAUUCAAAGCCGUGCAGAUGGGGCUCCGGCGCUCCGCGACGGAGUUGGCUGGGCAAGAGAUGUGACGCCAUGGCCGAUCUCUGCCUUCACUGCCGCCGUGCCGCAUACCCACGCCGCUGGAGCACCGGCCGCCGUCCUUCUCCUCACCCACUCCUGCGUCGCCAGCACGUCUCCACCUCUCCCUCCCAUCGUGGCCCUGAUCGGGAGUCGUUGUCUCCAAAACAACAGCGGCCUCGCUGGCCAGGCUCUGCCCACCUCGCCUCCAUCUGCGUCUCUGCUUUGGGCCUGUCGGAGCUGCCUGUUCCCCACAUCCUGGAUGCCUCGAUUCACAGAAUUAUAGUAGGACUAAGUAAUGGUUGCCAACUCAAGCAUCCUGCCUUCCUUCACUUUCCAUUUAUUUCUGCUGUCAUAGGAUCUGCAUAGUAUAGAAGCUUUUCUUUGACUUGAAAUACAUAUCCUUAACAAAAGCACAAAAGUAUCACUAUAUUGCUGAUCAGGGAAGGAAAUAGUUCCAUGACCAUUAUUUAUCCACACCAUCUUCCAAACUGUUGCUAAUCGUGAUGCGUUCGUGCUAUCAGCCAUGUGUUUUUGCAGCUAUGUUAUGAAUAGAAGUUUUCAGUUUCCCAAUUUUAUCUUUGCAGUCACCGUGGUCGAGCACAAAUAGUGGACUGCAUGUCAGGUAGACAGAUAGGUGGUCAUGGUGUUGGGGAUCGGGAAAAAAAACAGUUACCCUCGAACGUCAGUCACAGUCGUGGGAAACCUUUAACCUUGAACCUUGAGUUGUACGUCAGAUGCUAAAAAAACACUCAGAUGCUAAAAAAACACGGAAUCUUUCUAGUCUCGCGGGUUAACAAAACUCAGCUACCCUCGAAUGACGAAUGACAGUAGUGGGUUCCAAGUUUAACCUUACACGUCGGUAGCAAGGAAAGUGUAACUCCUUUUUAACCUUCGCAUGCUCUAAGAAAGCAUCUCGAAUGGUAAAUCUUGGAAUCUCGCUCGAGGGUAAUAAUUGACACCGGCAAAAACUAACACCAAGUGGGUUAAUCCUCGAGUGUUCGGAAUCUUACCUGAACACUGAGCUUUCAUACUUAUAUUCCUUACUCAGGGAUGAAACUCAGAAGGGAGCCACUCGAGGCUUUCAUACUUAUAUUCCUUACUCAGGGAUGAAACUCAGAAGGGAGCCACUCGAGGUUAAGGUCUUUCGACAAGACUCUAUGAAUCAGAAGCCUCAAGGCUGGGCACUCGGUUUGGGACGCGGGUGAAGACUCGAGGCUAAGCGCUCAGCUCAAAAUGAAGAUGAAGUCCCGAGGUUAGAGGGCAGAAGGUGUGAGAAGCGUGACCACGUGGAAGAGUUCGAUUUGUACACGUUUUCUUCAAUGUCCUUUAUGUACGGUAUAUCCUAGAAAUGCAGUGGUUGAGUAAGGAUAUUUUUGAAAUGUAAAGUAGGUCACUAUAAAAGGGGAGCCCUACCCUGCUGUAGAGGGGAUCAAUUUUUCCAAUUGUGAAUAUUGUUCCCAUUGUAACUUUAAAUCUGUUUGGUGUCAAAUUCCUUUUUGAGACCAACACAUGGCAUUCCAAAUCUAGAAAAAACAUGCCUAUUAUGAUGUUACCUUUGCACCUAAUUGUUUCAGUUGCUCAGCAAUGUUAAGACUAUUGGCAUAUGUGUUUGAUACAGCAUCGGAAUGAGCUAACCAUUUUUUGCAUCAGUUUAAAUAAUAUGCUUGGAUUGCGCUCAAAUUCAUACGAUUGCAGUUCAAUGUUGGUAGAUUUGUUUCAUGGGUAUAUUUUUUCAAAUAAAUGUUAUAUGAUACUAGCUGAAGGGUUAAGAUUUUCAGAACUUUGUUUCCUCCAAACUACGAGGGAAACUGAAAAAUGAUGUGGUUUAAGCGCAAUGUUCCUCUUUCCAGCAUUGUUUUGUAUCCAUUCCAAUAUACAACCAUCUCCAAAAUGAAUGUAUGGUGUCAUUAUUUGCUCAGUUAGGAUCGUCGACCUUUUUUACACCCUUUGCAUUGACAAUAGACAAAUAUCCAUCAAUUUCUGCUUAGUUGCAGUUGCGUUGCUUGCGUCUAAUGUGCAUUUCCAAUCACAGAUCUUCUGAUUAUGUGCAUGCUAAUCUCUGUCAUUCGUAGGCAGCUUCAGCCAAGGAAGCAAGCACGCAACUUUGUACUAAUGGACUUUGAUAUGAUCACAAUAAAGAGGACACAAUAAUAUAUCAUGGCAGCUUAAGUGCACGCUGCGACUUAAGUUUUUUGCCUGGCUACUUCUUGUCUAUCGAUUGAAUACAAGAGAUAUCCUUAGAAGAUGACAUUUCAAUGUCCAAUCAGGGGUCAAUUGCGCCCUCUGCUCCUCUGGAACUGAAGAAGAUACAGAUCAUCUCUUUUUUUACUGCCCUUUCGCACGGGACUGCUGGUCGGACCUUCACAUUACAUGGACAGGCCAAGAAAUUCAUUAGAGGAUUACCACUGACCGACAGACGCAAAACCACCGCAUUUUCAUGGAAAUAUUCAUCAUUGCAGCUUGGGAGUUAUGGAAGAUGAGGAAUGCCAUCAUAUUCGACGCAGCGCAACCCAACCGCAGGCUUUGGAUUGUGAGGUUCAAAGAUCAAGCGUCCCUCCAAAUGCAUAUGCUUAGGGAGGAUGCAGGCUUAUUUUUGUUCAAUGGCUAGAGAGACAGUUUUGUAAAGUUAACUUAACCUCCCCCCAUCUCUUUCUCUGUAAGUAUCUCUUUUUUCUGUGUCCUUUUAUAUAUUUCUGUGUCCUUUUAUAUAUAUGAAAAUGAAGUGCUGUGGGGAACUCCCCCACAGUUUUUGCCUUAAAAAAAAUAUAUCAUGGCAGCUGGCAUAAGUUUUACUUAAGUGAACCUUCACUGUGAUGUACUUUUACUUCAUGCCUAUGAGUCUAUGCUGCAGUAUCGUUUCUGCUGAUGUGUAUUGUUUUGGAUAAUUUGAGUUUGCAUUCCUCAUAGGAUAUCCAUUAUUCAUGUACAAGAAUCUAUGGUCUCAAGUCCAAAGAGCAGACAAAACACUAAUACAUUUGUUCAUAGGAUACGGAAAAUCAUGUUUCCUUACAGUUGAUUGGUACGGUGAUACACGAACUGGUUCGUUAAUUGCGUUAAUCAAUUAGUACAUACUGCCAACCUUUGUUUGCAGAGGAUCUCAACCUGCAGCGUAGAGCAUUACCAUCAUCCUAUACCUAUACGGGCGCGGCGAAGCGCGCGGAUCGUCCUAGUAUUUAUAUGAUCCUGGUGAUAUUUGUGCAGGUGUGCGGUGCAGUGAUCAAAUUCACACUGUAGUGUCCAAAGAAUAUCCCUAGGCCAAUCAAAUAGGCGACUGAAUUUACAGGAAAGCUUGCAAUUCAGUAAAUUUCAACUGCAGAUAUAGUCUUCCUGGGACAGGAGAAUCACAUACCCAAGAAGUGAGCAGUUUCGUGCCUAGCUAUUCUCUCCUGGUAGUCAGGAAAGACUGCAGAAAACGCUCCAAUUGCUGCUUGCAGAAGACUACACUGAUAGUAUGCGUGAUUAACAUGGGUUCGUAAUUAAACUGCAACGUUUUGCCGUUUGGGCCAAUGAAAGAUUUGAACAAAAGCAAACGGUAAACGUCAUCAGCGUCGUCAGGGCGGUGCACUGCCCGAAGCGGCGGCGGCGGAGAUGGGGCGCGUGCGCGUCCCGUGCUGCGGGAAGGACAACGUGAAGCGCGGGCAGUGAACGCCUACAUCACGCAGUACGGCAAGCGCAACAGGCGCCUCAUCCCCAAGAACGCCGGGCUGCAGCGGUGCGGCAAGAGCUGCCACCUCCGGUGGACAAACUACCUGCGGCCCGACCUCAAGCACGGCGAGUUCACGGACGCCGAGGAGCAGACCAUCAUCAAGCUGCACCCCGUCGUCGGCAACAGGUGGUCGGUGAUCGCGGCGCAGCUUCCCGGGCGGACGGGCAACGACGUCAAGAACCACUGGAACACCAAGCUCAAGAAGAAGCUCUCCGGGGUGGGCAUCGACUCCGUCACGCACAAGUCCUUCUCCCACCGGCCACCUCAUGGUCAUGGCCGAGAUCGCCACCACGCUCGCGCUACCGCAGGUCGCGCACCUCGCCGAGGCCGCUCUAGGUUGCUUCAAGGACGAGAUGCUCCACCUCCUUACCAAGAAGCGCCGCACCGACUUCCCCUCGCCCGCCGUGCCACCCGACAUGUCCAUAGCCGGCGCCGCAGGCCGACGACAUCUCGAGCGCAUCAAACUGGGCCUGUCCCGCGCCAUCAUGAGCGAGCCCGGCGCCGCCACCGAAAAGCAACAGCAGCCGCCCUGGGCGCCCGCCGGCCGACAUGCCCGAGGGGCUAGCGGGGAUGUACGCCGCGUGCAACCCCGCCACCCACGGGCAGGAUGAGUUCCGGUACGACAGCGGGGCGGUGCCGGAGUACGUCCUCGGCGGCGGCGGCGAGGCGGACCAGGGCGCGUCGAUGUGGAGCCACUAGAGCUUGUACAGCAGGAGCUCGGGCACCGAUGCGGCGGCCGGGCCGGCGACGGCAUUGCCGGACGGCCGGAGAAAGGCAACGACAGCGUCGGCAGCAGCGGCGGCGACGAGGAGGCGGACAACGUCAAGGACGGCGGGAAAGGCGACGGCUCCGACAUGUCCGGCCUGUUCGGAUCGGACUGCCGUGAGCAUCACCGCGGCCGAAUCUCCGGAGGACCCGCAUGCGAGAGAUGGGGCUGUUAGGAAUAAACCCGCCACGGUGUGUUCAUGGUGGCGUGCGAGUGUGCCGUGCCAUGGUGUGUUCGUGGUGGCGCGUCUGAGUCAGGUCGUGUGCAUGCGUGCGUUGCAGUUUGUUUGAGUCUGGUUAGGUCCAUAGGUUCAGGUUCAGCUGCAUGUCGUGUACAUGCGUGUGUGUAGGUAGUUACGUAGCAAUCGCUAGUUUGUUAGUGGACGGAGUGGGUCGUGUGCGCGGGUGCCGAUCUGCAUGAAGAUGGCCACGUUGUCCGGGAGAGCGAAUGGCUCACGACGACGUUGUGCAUGUCAUGCGGAUCAUGGCAGGAAGGCCGGACGUGGAGGAGUGCUCCUGGCAAGUCCGUGGCCUAUUUGUAGCCCCUGCGCCCCUCUGUUCAUUUUGCCGAGUCCAGUGAAAUACAAGUGCCGAGAUACCGGAGCUAUCGGCUCCACGGCGUUCGUCGCCGGCAGCAAGAAAAGCUAGUGUGCAUCCCUUGCAUUUUUGUUGCGAGCGUGAGAUAGAGAGCUAGUCAUCGUUUCGUUCCUGGUGGUGGCCAACAGGGGCAGGGGAGGUGCGCGUAUUUCACGGAGGCAAGCGCGGGAUGCCUGGCGGCGGGGCUAGCAGAAGUCGCCGGCGGCGGCGGGACCUCCCCGGACGCCCAUGUCGCCGAACUGGAAUAUUUGUGUAAAGACCAUAUUUACGACCACCCCCUAAUUUGGAUCGAGAUUAACAGUCGCGAUCAAAAUAUUUAUAAAUAACCCCCUAAUUUGGAUCGUGAUUAAUAAUUGCGAUCCAAUAUUUUCCAUUUAACCCCCUAUUUCGGAUAGGUAAUUUACAAAACUUCCCCCCAGGUGGCCUUCGCGCCGUCCUCGUCGGCUCUUCCGCGGCCCAUAGGCCGACGGCCUCCGCCUCCACAGCCGCCAACCUCCCCGCCUUCCGCUUCAGCCGGGAGCGCAAGAUUCACCCCAUUCAUCGCUUUGCUCAGGCACCGCUCUCCACUCCUCUGCUCGCUAAAGGUCUCAAUGGCGAGGAAGACGAAAGGGAUACCGAGCAGGCGAGCACCGUUCAACAGUCCUCCGUUUGGGAUCGCCUGACGUGCUCACCGUUCGCCGAAGAGCACCCACCAUCCACCGCCCACUGCCCACCUCGCCGUCGGCGAAGCCGACAACCAAACCAAUGCAAGCGCGCGAGAACCACCAUUCUGCCUUUGUCUGUAUGUCAUCGUGUAAAUUUCCCUCGCUUUCAAGGACUUGACUUCGUGUGAUCUGAGAUUCUGAUAUCCGAAAGGAGACGUUUGUGUUCUUGCUACUUCAAAUGCAAGCUCUAGCUAGCUGAGAACGCUAACAAGCCACAACUCUCGAGAGUCUCAACAAUACCCUCAUAUGCUUGUGAGCUUGUCACUAAACAUAAUAUGUCGUAUUUCAGAAAUUCAGACGAAGAUGCAAUGGGAAGAAAAAACCUUUUCCUGUUAGAGCAUGAAUUCAACAUCUUUUUAAGUUUUCUUCAACAGUCCCAAAUCCGAUCAUGUUAGGGCACUCAAGUUCAUUGCAAUCAGGAGGCAUUCUCUAUUGCUUCAAUGCAACCCAACACGCUGGCAUUCUGGGACAUUGCCGACAUAAGUGCUUCAUGGGCUGCUUUGUUGUUCUUCAGAAGUGAUGCGGCAAACAGGACCUGCAAUGCCAAAAGAACGGCAUCAAUCAACAUGUAAGUUAUGGCAUGGUUUCUGCUUCUGCUAGUUCAAGAGAGGUGAAAAGGAUAACUCACUGCCCAUCUGGUAAGGUUUUGUUGCUGAUCUUUGCUUAGUUGCGGCUUAGUUCUGUUUAUGAACCUCUAGAAGCAAACAAACAGGAAAUUCUUUAGAUGCAGUUUUCUAAAGAUAUCACAAAGAAAAUGUGACAAUAUGGAACUGGGGAGGAUAAAAUAAAUUCGUAGAGCACCUGGAGGGUGAAAAGGUCUGCUGAUUGACCUACAACUUUGUCAUAUUCUAGACCUUCAGCUGCCAGUCCUGCCAUUGAAACUACUGCUAACCUGAGGAAAUUCUAUAGGUAUCAGUAGCUUGAUCAGAUUUAUUUGAUCCUGGCGAUAUGCAGGUGUGCAGUGCAGUUAUCAAAUUUACACUGUAGUGUCCGAAAUAAACAGAACUGCAGAAGUACACAAAAUAUGAAGUAGAUUAUAAGUAUGGAAAAGUUAAAAGAGUUACCUGUCUAGUUCCUUUCCAUCAAGCUGCCCACUGUAUAUUAGCUUCUGUAACUGCUCAUCUAUCAAAUUAACAUGUUCCUUUCCGAUGUCCAAAGAAUAUCCAAGGAUAGGGAGGCCAAUCAAAUAGGCGACUAAAUUUCAGAAAAGCUUGCAAGUCAGUAAAUUUCUACUGCAGAUAUUGUCUUACUGGGAUAGGAGAAUCCCAUACCCAAGAAGUGAGCAGCUUCAUGCCUAGCAAUUCUCUCCUGGUAGUCAGGAAAGACCGUAGAAAACGCUCCAAUUGCUGCUUGCAGAAGACUGCAACGACAGUGUGCAUAAUUAACAUGGGUUCAUAAUUAAUCUGCAACAUGGAAAUUACUAUAAAAAAAUGAGCACCAUUAUGCAUUGGGGUCCAAUUUUGUAAUGUUAGUGAUAUCUUGAAUGGUCAAUGCAUUGAGUUAAAUGAACAUUUGAUGUUCUUGAUUUUUUUUCCUUGAGGCAGUAAAAGUUAUUUAAGGACACUACUCUUGCCUCUUUCAUGUAUAAGCACACUUUACUCCAACAGAUGAUGUCAUCACAGAAACUCAUGCAUUUGAAUUGCUAGUCAAAAAUUGCAGAAGCGAAGAGAAACGUACCCUGGAGCAACGCUUCCGACAGCCAAUACGAUCAAUGAAAUGCUUCCAAUCAAAUAGGGAACAAAGAAGCCCCAAUCCUGUCACAGAUAAUUUCAGAAGAUUUAAACCUUUGCUGUUUUUUCAUUUAGACAUCAAAACCAAAAUCAUUUUUGCAGGUACCCAUGACUUCAGGUCCUCUAUGCUCAAUUGCUCAUCUUAUUUGAAAGUACAUAGAGCUGGUGUCAUGGAAAUAGUAAUACCCCAGGGAGCUGGCCUGCAAGGACGGCUAAGAAUCCAGUGGUACCGACAACCGUAAAUAAAAACGCUGCCUGCAUGAUGAUACCAAAGAAACUGCAGAAUCAGACUCUGAAAAGCGAGAGAUAUUUAGCUCUGAAUGAUGCUACAGUAGUGCAUAUGAACUGCUUGUUCCAAAAAUUUCACUAAAACAUCAUGCUUUGCCUCAGCUAACAAGAGAACAGCAUUUCAAUUCUGAAAGAGUGGGACAACACUUACAUCAUUUCUAACACUUGGAAUUGCCAAAUUCUCAGCAUUCUUGAUUCCAAGGGUAGUGAGUUCCCGCAGAGGUGUCUGUUCCACAGUUCCAGUUCAGAAUGCAGGUUCAUCAGUUACAAACAAUCAGAGCCAGACAGAGACAGUCAAAAGACCCAUGCAGCCACAACGAUAAAAGACUACAGGAUGCUUGCACCAGAAUUGCACGAGCAAAUGCAAAUGCAUGGCAGAGUUAUGCCCUGCAAACAUGUGGUGUCUGAUCAUCGAUGCUUCAGAAGGCACUGCACUGACCGUGCGACGCGACACGUACGGCUGCGAACUCCACCGCUUGGCCCAGCCGAGCUCCCUCAGCUGGUCCAGCGCCUGCUUCACAUCAUCGCUGCUCUUCUGCAACACUACCCAGCUCAAUGCGUCACCUCAUCAAAUUAAUUGAUCAGGAGUCAGAAGCCGUUGCGACCGCCGCUCACCUUGUCGAUGGCGGCCUGCAGCGCCUUGAGGUCCACCCCGGACGCCGCCGAAGAGGAAGCCGCCGCGGCGCGCCAGCAGCGGCGUGGCGCGGUGGUGGGUGCGACGAGCACGGCCACGAUCGCCAUGGUUCACCCGCCUUCUUCUUCCCCGCGCGACCGCCAACGGAAGGGGAUAACACAGUUCAGAGUUCAGAGCCAGGACACGUUUCGUCGUGAUCUUCUGAGGCGUAACUGUUGUGCCACGCCGAACGUGCUGUCGUGUCCCCUUCUACGCCGGAAAAUGCUACGCCACAAAAAAUCACGCCGUUGUAAACACCACUCCCUUUUGGCGCCUAAUCCCCACCCGUUCUCUAGUUUCGUCUUCCUUCCCCGCUCCAACUCCUCUCUCAAAUCUCCGAUCCAAAUUCGAAUCCCCAAAUCCUUCGCGUCCCCAGAAGUUCCAGAUGCUUCUCCUCCAUCCCCGCGCGGUCCCUGCGCCCGCUCUGCGAGGGAGGCCGCCGCCACCCCGGCCUCGGCCUCGCCGGCGGCUGGUGCCGCCCCCCCUCGCCGCGGCGUCCGGCUCCAUCGCAGUCAGCUCCGAUGAGGACGCCUUCACCAGGUGCUCCGGGUACCUGUUCGAGGAGGGCGCGGCCACCGAGUCGCAGCUCCCCACCGCCUACGACCUCCCCGGCAUCGCCGCCGUGUACCGCCGCCGGCCGCUCCUCGUGCUCCGGCGCUCGCUGCAGAUCGGCACCUCCUUCGGCCGGUGGUUCGCGCUGAGGUACCUCGACCGCGUCAACGAGCGCGCCGACGACAUGUUCGAGGUCCGCCACCUCACGCUACGCUUGCUUUUGAUCGGUCCUGCGCAUGCUUGCUGUUUGAUCGAAUUCCUGGCCGUGCUUUGGUUCAUCGAUGAUUUGGUGUUGUCGUUGCAGCUUCGGGCGGCUCAGCUCAGGAGGAUACUAUUGGAACUUGGCCCGGUAUGUAUCAUUUCCCAAUGUCUGCUUGUUCAUGUGUGCGUCCCGUACGAGAUGACCAUUAGCGUGUACAUGACAUGAUGCUACUCUUUUAAUCGCAGGCAUUUGUGAAGAUCGCACAAGCAGUUUCGUCACGGCCGGUGAGGUUCACUAGUUGCUACAUUUUCAUUUGAUAACCUGUUGAGAUUGCAGGCUUGGAUUGCAUUAAGUUUAGAUGUUUGAUCAAUUGGCACCUCCCUCGUUUCAUUUCCUGCAGGAUGUUAUUCCGCCUGCAUACCUUGAUGAGCUCUCACUGCUUCAGGACCGCAUAGCACCAUUUUCAACCGAUGCUGCUUUUAACAUUAUAGAAAAAGAGCUUGGGCUGCCACUGGAUAUGAUUUUCUCUGAGAUAUCACCAGAGCCAGUUGCUGCUGCAUCUCUUGGGCAGGUCCGAUUAGUUUACCAUUUUUUUAGUGUCUUUAUGGAUCGAUUGGCCGCUCUUAGCAGCAUUUUGUGUUUCUAUCUAAGGAAGCAGAGCACAGUUGCAUGUGUUCAGGUGCAUUUGGGUAGCUGAGUUAUCUGACAGUAUCCUCCCUACAUUGUUGCUGUUUGAACUUCGAACACCAAAAAUUGAUAUGCAACUCAAGUUCAGUUUGCAUGUUAAUAUUUUUUACUGGAUGUUUACCUGAAGGAAUAAAAAACAAAUAAUUUCAUGCACUUCAAAUUUUGGAGCAACUAAAGUACUGUAGGAUGGAAAUCUGAACCUGUAUGAAGUUUCAAUCACGUGUUUCCUUAAAGGAACCACAAAUAGGUAACUUCAUGGACUUGAAAUUUAAAGCAACUAAAAGGCACAAUAAGAUGGAACCCUGCACUUGCAUUAUAAACACAAAUACUUAUUGAUUCACAAUUCUCAAUGUCAAUAACCAUGGAAUUUCAUCUCUGAGUGACAUAGCAUUCCAUUUUUCUUACUCUUGUAGGUUUACCAGGCUAGGCUUCGAUCCAACGGGAAGGUUGUUGCUGUCAAAGUACAAAGACCUGGUGUUCAAGCAGCAAUUUCAUUGGACAUAUAUAUCUUGAGGUUCCUAGCUAGUCUUGCAAGGAAGGCUGCCAAGUUGAACACAGAUCUUCCGGUAAGUCUGUGUACUGUUAUUUGUCCAUGUAAUCAACUGAAGAAUUGAUUCUUUCAAAGGCCAAAAGUUAGAAAAUUAACCCAACAAAAAAGGAAAAUACUUUUUAAAAAAUUUCAACUAUAUUAUUCUCUAUCAUUUAUGUUGUUUCUUCUAUUUAUUUGGCUUUUAAUCACAUGUAUGUGCUUCUCCCAUGUGCAGGCUGUGCUUGACGAAUGGGCAUCGAGCCUGUUCCGGGUAACUUUUCCAUAUUUUACGAUCUGAUAUGUCAUUUCCAUGUCAACCUAUAUAUGUCAGUGUUGUUCAUUUACUUUGACUCACGUCAAAUGCUAGUCAAAAAAUUCACAAUUUGGCUAUAGUAUCUGAAGGCAGCGGCAUGAUAUAAUAUCUGAUAGAAGUAUGAAAAGUACAUCAACUAGAGGAACAAAAUAGUAUUCCUGUUCCUUCAAAAUGGUUCAUUGGGCUAUGUGGAUAACAACAGUUUGGCAGGAAAAAAAGAGUCUAGGAAAAAAAAUUAUGGGAGGUCAACUUCCAAAAUUUUGGCUAUGGGCACAAAUUAUAUUCAAAAUAUCUUUUGUGCUAUUAUUCUAUUCAAAAUUCACUUGGCUCAAGUAAUUUGAAGUGUGUAUAUGAAGUUAUAGACACAUCUAUUAUAUAUCUCCAAGGAAGAACAUAAAUAUUAAUCAUUUUUCAAUGUGACAGUUGUUUAAAACCAUUGCAUUCAUACUCUUUAUCAUGAGAUUCCAUAGCUUUUGUGAUAGCUCUAGAGCCUGAUGAAGAAAGACGUUAUUAUUCUGGCAAGAAUGCCCUCCAGUUACUAGCAGUUUUCUAUUUAGGGCUGUUAGGCUCUAUCAGACAUCUGAUUAAAAAAAUUAGCUGCAUAUUCUUAGAUAUUCACAUUGAAUACAGGUAAAUCACAUUUGAUGCAGGAGAUGGAUUAUAGAGAAGAAGCAAGAAAUGGACUUAAGUUCAGGUUGAAUUCUUUAUCCACUAGGCAAAGUCCAGUUCAACGCAUCUUCUAUGAUCAAUGCACCUUCAUUGAGAAAUAUAUGGUGUUUUAGAACUUGACUGGUCAAACACCCUUCACUUUUUUGCUACAGACAUGCAAGACUAUUUAGAUUGAGACCAUCAGGUUUAUUUGAGAACUACUAUCCUAAUAUAAUAGUUGUGCUUUUUCAGUAAAGUAUCUAUUGUAACAUAUUACUACGGAAAUUGAUUAUUUGAGACUAUCUCAUCAUUGAAUGGUUUCCUGAAACAUCUUUUGAUUCUGUGACAGAGAAUUGUUUGGGAAGUUUAGAGAUGUCUCAGUUCCUGAAAUGUAUCUGGAACAGUCUCGAAGGCGAGUCCUUAUCAUGGAAUGGAUAGAGGUACAGUUUCUGAUACUGUUAGCAACCGAACAUGCAUGCAAAAAUUGCAGUUUGUAAUUCUACUUGCUCUUUGUGGUCUUGUAGGGGGAAAAGUUGUCAGAAGUCAGAGAUCAAUAUUUGGUUGAGGUGACCUUUCAAAGCUCAAAAAUUCACAUAAAAGUUGGCUUCCCUAAGCACCAUUGAUCAGAUAGAUUAUCCUGGCAUAUUUUACUUUACAGGUUGGAGUAUAUUGUUCGCUUUCCCAGCUAUUAGAAUAUGGAUUUUAUCAUGCAGAUCCACACCCUGGAAAUCUUUUGCGUACAGUUGAUGGGAAAUUAGCCUACUUAGGUAAUAUAGUUGUAUUUUACUAUCUCUGCACUAAAAAUUGCCUGUGUGUAGCCCUGGGUAACUUUUGGGCUCCAAGUUUGAUUCUGUACCACGAAUUAAAUGAAGCUCUCACUGUUUCAACUAGUAUAACACAUUAAUUGUUAAUAGAUUUUGGGAUGAUGGGAGAAUUCCGACAAGAACUUCGUGAUGGAUUUAUUGAAGCCUGUCUUCAUCUUGUUAACCGUGAUUUUGAUGCUUUAGCAAAAGAUUUUAUCACUCUUGGGUAAGAAAAUUACUCUGAACUGAAACAAGCCAGCUGUAUGUUAACUUCCAUAGGCUUUCACUCAUCAGGUUGGUUGUCAGUUAUCAGUAUCAGUAUGUGAUAUGUUAGGCUUGUGAAGUGGAAUUCAUUUAUACCAAUAACAUUUCCUCUCAGGAAUCACCAUAGGGCAUUAAAUACAACUCAUCUUUACAUGUCUUGCAGUUUGCUUCCUCCAACUGCCCAGAAGGGUGAAGUAACAAAGGCACUGACAGGUAUUCCGGUUCCAGAUUAAUUUUGUGAAUGUUUAAAUGUAACUCAGAAUUAGUUGAUCUAGAUACUGCCGUAGUAAUCUCAAUUUUUAGAUCAGAAAUGAGGUCGCAAUACUCGUCCAAUUGGCACACCACUCAGUAAGUCAGUAUCCUAAUCUUUUAUAUCUGCCUCAGGUGUAUUUGAGAAUGCUGUUAACAGAGGAGUUCAGAAUAUAAGCUUUGGAGAUCUGUCAGGAAAUCUUGGACGAACAAUGUACUAAUCUAGUUUACAGAGAACCAUUUCUUCCAUGUAUGCACUAUAAGUUUGUGCUAAUAGCGCUAACCGUUGUUUCAGGUAUAAAUUCAAGUUCCAGAUACCUUCUUACUUUUCCCUUGUAAUUCGAAGGUAAUGAGUUUGUCUGCAAAAUUUGAGCAAAGUGCUUCACUAAAAGAGCUUGCAUACAGGCAGAUGCUCUUGAAUAUUUGUCUGAUAAGAGGCUUGCUGUGAUUUUUCAGCCUUGCUGUCUUGGAAGGUAUUGCAAUAAGUUUUAAUCCAAACUAUAAAGUGCUGGGCAGUUCAUACCCAUGGAUUGCAAGAAAAGUUCUCACUGACAGUUCACCAAAGCUCCGAUCAACUUUGCAGGCUCUUCUUUAUAAGGUUAUUCUGCAUUUGUAUUUUCAGAAAACUUUAAAUUGUAUUAACUGUUGAGGUGUUGAUCAUGCUAACAAGUUUACAAGACCAAUAAUGACAGUUUUACUAUGAAUUACAAUAUUUUUCAAGUUUCCUGCCUAUGUUAUGCCCAAGAUUUUCUACUGUAAAUUAUUUAGUUUUGACUACUUUUUUUCUUCAACUAAAAUGUGUUACAGGAUGGCACUUUCCAAAUUGAUCGUCUGGAAUCUUUGUUAACUGAGGUUGGUUUCUUCUGUUCUAUGUCUUAGAUGCUGCUUGCCUAUCCCAGCCAAUGAAGUUUUGUUAUGUCUAAUAUGAUAUUUGUAAUGUGAAUAAAGAUUUAACUGUUUGAAACUUGGUGAAAUUUCCCUUUCUAACAUGAGGAAGAAGCUAGCCUAUUCCAGCUAAUUUGUAAUGACUUGCAUAUGGAUUUGGGUUUUGUCAUUAAACAAAAUUGCUAACGCUGAAGCUCUAAUCAAUUACACGAUGAAACUAUCUGCACUGGGAAUGUGGUAUCUGCUUCUGAGCAUAUCCCCAUUGCAUGGUUCUUUUUACAGUCACUUCGUGCCAGAACAGAGCAAUCAUUGGUCAGAAAUCAACAAGAAGAUGUUGAUAGUACAAGAUAUGCAAUUAAGCAAGUCUUGUCAUUCACACUCACUGACCAGGUAUGACCAAAUCAGGCAAAUAAUAGUUUGACACCGAACUAACUCUUCACCAUAACAAACAAGAUUGAACCUGGCAGAUAAAUAUUUGAUGCUCUGUGCUCCCUUUGCAGGGUGCCUUUGUGAAGGAUUUACUUCUUCAGGAGAUUGCUAAGGUAGUAGCCUUUUGAAGGCGAAAUUACAUAUUGAGUUAGCUUGAUCAUCAUAAUAUUUGGAAAAUCCAGAGCAUCUUAAGAUUCUAUAUUCUAAAUAAAUUCCUUGUGGUUCACCUUUCUUGGUCUUUCAAUAAAUUCGAUUAACUUUUAGAAGAUAAGGAGUCUUCUUCUGGCAUUAUUCAUGUUUGCUUAAAGUGAAUUUGCAUUCCUGUUUUGACAGGAAUACUUUCUGGCAUGUUUUCUCAAGAAUUUAGUGUUUGCAGGGAAUAGAUGCACUUGGUGUAGCCACAUUAAGCUCAGCAACAUCUGCAGCAGCCUCCAGAUUGCCAUUUGCUGGUGGUCCAUCCCCAUUAACCUCACUAGAUGACGAGGAUGUUAAUAACUUGAGAAAUCUAUAUCGCCUGCUCCUACUUUUAUCUAAGGUUUCUCGGAAGGAAAAUUCAUCUCCGGUAUGUACAAUUAUCAAUAGACCUCAGCUCUGUUUUCUUUAUUCAUUUGUGUGGACGGGAAAAAAUUUAGGUUAGAUAUGAAUGUGAUUGAUCAAAAGUUAAGUCAUGAACUAUCAAUAUAUGUCCCCACUGACAUGAGUCAGUGACUUGGUAUAUCAUAUUGCAAGAUUUACAACUUUUCCUUUGAGCCUUUGUUUGUUUUGUUCACUGUGUAUAAGUUUUGCAGAGUCCUGGAAAUAACAAUGCCAUAGAGAAUGGUGGUAGCACAGAUGAACUUUCUCUUGCUCUGUACGAAAUGGCAUCUCUUCCAGAAUUUUUGCCAGUUCUUUCCAUCAUUCCUGAGGUAAGUCGGAUAUAUAUAAGUUCAGUGAGACUAACAUAUGUCAAAUUCCACAUGGCACAUUACUCAUUUGUGUAUACCCUUCUGUAUCGAAGCUUCCACCGGAGUCCCAACAGCAGUUGCUUCUUCUGCCAACGGAUUUAGCCAAUCGUAUUUUAUCUCGGGCUGUUGCGAGAACUAUUAGAAGAAUGUUCAUGUAAAGCUAAAGGUACAGAUUUUUCAUCUCUGCUUACUUAAAUGUUUUUGUUUAACUAUUCUUUUUGAAUCACUACUAGAAGACGAGAAGUUUUUUUUCCCAUGCGGUAGCAUCUAAUCUAGAAUCCAAAAUCACUCUGACAUUUUUUUUCUUUGUUAUGAAUGAUUUUGGAAACACUUCUUUACUAUGUACAUAUUUUUCAAACAAAAGGAAGCCCUGUAAAAGGCCCUUUUUGUUAAGUCCAUAUAGUGUAACUAAUGAAUUUUUGAGUUAGCUCUUUGUGUGAUAAAAAAAUAAUAAUACUGCAGUAAUGCAGUUUGACUGAAAAGCAUGGAUUCAUGUUAUCUGAUUUUGUUUCACAAUGUAUAUGACAUAACAAAAAGGCAAUAGCAUGUAAACCUAAUGUGCCCAUCAACCAUUCAUUAUAAUAAGAUAAACAGCAAAUGGCAAUUAUUUUAACUUAACAAAAACUAUUUUCUUAUUCAUUUGCACAAGUACAAACUCAAAUGAUCCUCUUUCAUGUUGCGUGAACAAUCUAAUAGUACUGUAAAAGGAGUUCAUGCAGAGGUAUAUGUACAAUAAAACAAAUAAGGGCCGUAUGUUGUCAGUGUCCUUUUCCCAGCAACAAAAGGUCAGUUUCUGACCAUAGCAUUCUCACUAAGAAAAUUUUCCAUCUUUAGCAAUGCCUGGAAGGGUUGAAGCAAAAAAAAUCCCCAGUUAGUUUAGUUGUGAAGGCCAAUUCAGCUAAGGCAUAACAGCAAGAAACAGAAUUUCAGGGUACCUCGACAGCGAUGGUACUAGGUGUAAGUAUAGUGACAUCAUUAUGCCCUUGUUUUAAUGCAAUAUCUGCAUCACGAAGAAUUUGGUCAAUUAAUUAAAUUUCGUGAAGCAUUGUGUUCAGUGAGCUUAUUAGUAGUAUAAAGCAUUAGAAGCACAAUCAGGAGUAUACAUAGUUGACAUUGUUAUUGGAAAUGAUAGGAAACCUACGUUCAAGUGAAACUCUGGCAUCAGCAUUAGCAUAUGCGUCCAUUCUUUGCUCAAAAAGUGAUGUAAGUUUUGCAUAAGCCUGCAUUAGAAAACAAUAGAUCCUUAGCGCUGUAAGGGUUACCAAAAUAGUAUAUUAGUAUUGAGUGGAGCUCAAGAGCUCAAAUCUUAUAUGAUAGUAAUAAGAGCAUCGGUAGCUACCUUUGCAUAUGGGUCACCAGAUUCCUGAUGCAAGAGGGGCCGAGAUGCGGUUCCCACGGCAGCAAUCCUUCUUGCAAGUGCAUCCAGUGGAACAUCUAACCACACAGUCAGCCCUCUCUUCAUGUAACUCCUGCAAAUUUCCCAGUGUGAGAAUUGGUUUUGAAAAUCAACCUCAGGGUAGUUUAUCACUUCUAGUACCAAUUGAUUGGUCGGAUCACGGCACCACCUCCAGUUGCAACAACUAACCGAUGCAUUGACGACAAAUCCCUUAGGACCUCACUCUUGACAAGUCGAAUGAAACAAGAGGAUAUCAGAAAAGUUGGUUAUCAGGUAUAGAGGUACUUGAAUAGGAGCCUAAUGCUGUCAGCCUCUACCGGAUUACAGCAUUAAAUCUGAGGCGGGGAAUUGCCAAUUCGAUCUUCCUAGAAAGAAAGAUGAACGAAUGCCUUGCAGACUUGGGAGUCUUUUCCCACACCUUCAACCUUUAAUAAGGAAAAAUUUAAAUAAAUAUCAUUAGAGAAACAGAUAUAUACCUCAUUAUCUCUGAAGAAUGCUUCACUAUGGAGCUGAAAGAUCUCAGCAACAGAUGAGAUGCCGACAGCCUUCUCUACCAACUUAUCACUGCAAUAGGAAUAGGCCAGUAACAUUACUAAACUGUAAGAAGAAGAAGAAAAGGUUACUUCUAUGAAGAUUUUUGGCUGACAGUUGGUGAAGUUAGUUAUCAGAGAGGAAUGCAUACCUGUCGAAGAACGAAUAACCUAAUACUUCGGCUAAUAUCUUCCCAACAGUAGUUUUGCCUGAACCCAUCAUUCCUGUAUACCGAAGUACAUGAAUAUCAUAUAUGCAAAGCGACAUGAUGGUUUGUGCUUAGGAUUGAGCUGAAGUGUUGCUAGAACUGACUUUUCAAAAAAAAAAAAAGUGUUGCUAGAACUAACCGACUAGAUAAACACAUCGGCCAUCCAAGUAAGGGAGAACAUCCUGGGCUUUUUGCUGGAAUUAGCAUGGAUGUCAGUUAUAUUUAUAAAAAAACUAUAAUUGUUGUUUGAUGCUUCUUUCUCCAUUCAAGGCAAUUAUCAUUACACUUUUCCUAUUCAUAAAAGAAAAUUUUUCCUGACCUGCAGUAUGAGAGCUUCAUCAGCAGAGUAGUGGACUUUUUCAGUACCUGCAAGCCAUCAUCAUGCUUAUCAGAUCUCAACCGUCUGAUGUGCUAAAUUAUGGCUUAAAUAACAAUCCAGCCAGAGCCCCUAGUCCUCUGAUCCGUACUAGCAUGCAAAUUACAUCGUAUUAUCUCUUCAGAAUUUCAAGGAAUUAAGCUGCACAUUAGUGCUAAUAAAGCUUUUAUAGCUUGCUGGAGUAGUAAAUUACAACAUAACAAUAGGUCCUAAAAACCACAUCAAGUGGUCUAAAAACCAAUUGCGAAAUUUCUGCCACGAAAGAGUUUUAUCUUCCCUUUAAGGAAUCCAUUUCAGUUUUCAUUGUUUUUCUGUACCUAAUGGCUGACGUUGGAACGACAAUGUCACAUGGUACGAUCCCAACCCAAAAGCCAAUACGAACUGGUUCUGUAGCCAGCGAAACCGUAUGGCAACGCCAAACACACGAGUUUCGACACUUGCUGCCCCGUAUCUUAGCCGUCACGUGUCACGUGCGUGAAGCGUGUCAGAUGACCCAUGCGGCCAUGCCAGCAGCUGUUGGCACGUUGCAGAUGCAUAUCCAAUCCCACAAAAAUUUAAUAUUAGAAUAGAACAAAUAAAAAUUUUGAGCCGCAAGCCUAAUCUGAUUUAAACAUCGCCAUGUUCAUUGGCAUCAAAUCACGUCAUAGCUACCCCCCAUCUCCUGGCCCUGAGUUUAUACGGUAAUCCCAGUACUUGUUAAUGACAACUGCAUGAACACCAAGAGAGGCAAUUGGACUACUCACCUGCCGAUUUCUUGCAGCAAGAUGCUUUCAGCUUUGCGGCACGAAUCAGUCCAGGAUCCGUGCCCCUCCACGGAUCGGUUCCCAGAACCAGCCUCUGCGGCAGCUUCUCCGCCGUGAACCUUACGGCCGGGGCUCUGGCGGAGUAAGCGCCGCCAUGCGGCUUCUCGACGAGCCCGGCCCAGAUACGGGGCCGCGCCCCGAUGCCCACGCUCGCCUCCAUCUCCUCUCGACCCGACCUGACGAGGAGACGGCCGGGCCUGUGGUUCAGCAGCCGCACUCAGGCGAGGGCGCCUAUUCGUGUUAGACCUGAUUGGUGGAGCUGGUGUUAGAUUGGCCGGCCAUCGAUCGCCGGGGUAACGGAGAGCGCGCGGGCGGUGGCCGUCGGCGGCGGCGGCAGCGGGCGAGGAGGGCAGCGGAGACGAGGGAUGAGAGAAGGGAACUCAAGAGGCUGAAACCGGUGGCUUGAGGCUUUUAUACACGAGGCGGUCGUAAGUUUGGUUUCGGAAGUGGUUGGUUGCGGGGCCCGGCACGUGUUCAGUUUUUCCAGAAUACGAACCUCCUUGCGAUCUUUCAAAAAGAAAUCCUCCUUGCGUGAUGCUUUAAACACUCCAAUUUAGUUUUUAAUCUCCUUCACUCAUUAAUAUAUGACGAAAAACUCAUCGAUGAUGUUAUUAGACUGAUCACAGAAAAUGCUAUCUUAAGAAUAUACUUGAUCUACUUUAAACAUUAGUAUACAAUUAUAAACAUUGCAAAUCAAAAUGUGAAACCGCAUCGACUACUUGCCUUGUGGAACUUCGAACCAGAGCCCGUCUGAAUCUUGGAGCUAACUAGUUUCCCUUUUAUUAUCGGAAAGUUUCACUAGUUCUUGAGUUUGUUGCACUGUUGUUUGCUUAGUCUAAGCUUCAUCUUUUUUUAAUAUAAUCGGCCUCUCCGUUUCAAAAACAAAAAAGUUGCACUGGUCAUGGAAUACUCCAGAGACCUGCCAGGCGCCAACAGAAUUGGCUUUAGCAGUUUCCCGCCUGUCCCGAGGACGAGAAAACUCGCAGCACUUUUACCAACCCAAACAACGAUCGAGAGCAAGGAGUCAACCUCCUCAUGAGGCACUCAAACAUUUUAAAAACAUCGUUCGUAAUUAACUCGGUGAUCGGACGAACCAAGCCACCCUCCACCGAACACAAGACGAGUGCAGGCUGUUCACGAGACGGGAGACGGGAAGGGCGUUCCGGUCAAGUGCGAAUCGAAAGGGGGGCCCUCGGGGUUAGUUGGGAGGGAGGGAGGAGGGGCCUCUUGGGCCGGGGGAUGUCACCGCGCAGCGCCAGCGCGCAGGGCUCCACCAUCCUCCUGCAACUACCACCGCACCCCGUCCCAGACGCCACGUCGGAUGCGGGCGAGGGGGUUUGGUGGCCGAUGGCGACGACGCGCGCGGGUGCUGAGAGAGACGUCUGAGCUUUCACCUUUCAUGCGGCAAGUUGCUUUCUGAUGCUGUGUCCUCAGGCGUCGGUCUUGACAUAGAGGAGCUGCACUAGAUGGGCCAUGCAUGCACAGUGCAGUGCUUCGUGUUGAUUCAUGAUGAAUCUUCAUCGCCGGAAAAAUAUAUGUACGUGCAGUGUCGAUGUUCUGUUUCUAGGGGUCUAGUUUCACCUGAAGUACUUGGGGCAGAAAAUUUGGCGAAAUGCAUGUGCUGCAGUUCUACAUGAAAAGUGAAAAGCGGUAAACAAACAAUCGUCAUAGGGUUUACGGGGAAGAAAAUGAAAGACUCCAACGCAAUAUUUUGUCUUCCAUCGUUUGUAGCUAGCGUCAGGAACUCAGGAUUCAACCAUGUACGUGUAAUCCUUGCGCUGACCGGGAUCUUAUGCACAUAUACGUGCUUCCUGAGGCGAAGGUGUGUGUAGUACACUUGGACAGUUGGUGCAUCCACAUAAGCACGCGCGGGUCGAGCUUAUCCAUUUGGAGACACAUUGAUUAUUAACGGCACCUAAACACCCGUAGGCCAUGGCAACGACAGCGAAGCCAUGGUUUCAUCACCCGAUCUUCGGUUCUGCAGUCAUGUGGUUUCUCAACAAAGAUCCAUUGACCUAGAACCAACCAAGCACUGCGCAAAUUCAUGGGGGCUCCUAUCUAUCCGAUAGAUAGUUGCUUAUACAUCUUUGAUCCGUCACCAGCUGCCCACAUGUAUGUCUAACCGGCUCAUAAAGCCAGUCUCAGUAGAUGUCAUGGAGAAUUUUAUGGGUAUUAAAUCCUAUACCACAUCAAAAGUUUUGCUAACUUGACAUCCUAAUUAUGAGGAGGGGGGAGUUUCAUCCACAUGAAACCCACCUGGUACCAAGUCCCAUGAAAUCUAAUAAAACUUGCACUAAGGAUGUUACAGUUUCAUCGCAAAACACAUGUGAUCAUAACUCCACACAAAAAAUAAAUGUUGUAGGUUGUUUAUCAAACUGUGCAACGAAACUAUGCACUGAGAGUGAUAGUUUCAUUUCAUUGAAAAGAUGACAUAACAGUUUUGGUAACAGUGCGAUGAAACCAUGCACUAAGGCCUAAUGACCCAUGAACUUAUAAAAAAAAUAAUGUGUGUGGUGUUGGUUUGUUGCUUUUUCUACCUGCCAGCGUCGUGCUAAGCCGCAUGCGGGGAAAGCACAUUAGCAAGCAACAAAUAGCCCCAAUAAUUAUGCCUUAGCAAAUAAAUAUAGUUUAUGACCCUAUAAACACGUGUCAUGUGCUAGUAUUUUUUUCACCCUUACUUUUCUUCUAAAAUAGAAAAUAUGAGUCAUAUUCAACGUUUUGAGACACUAGAUCCAACAUUUUUUUCAAAUCUAGUUCAACAUUUUGAAUCAAUUAGUUCAAUAUUUUCUCAAAACUAGUUUCAAUAUUUUGAAUCAACUAGUUUAACAUUUCUUCAAAUCAGGUUCGACAUUUUAUAUCAACUAGUUCAACAUUUUGUUUUCAAAUCACGUUCAACAUUUUUAAACAACUAGUUCAACAUUUUUUCAAAUCCGGUUCAACAUUUUCAAUCAACUAGUUCAACAUUUCUUCUAAUCAGGUUCAACAUUUUAAAUCAACUAGUUCAACAUUUUUUUUCAAAUCUGGCUAGUUCAACAUUUUUUUUUCAAAACUGGUUCAAUAUUUGAAUCAACUAGUUCAAUAUUUUUUCAAAUCUGGUUCGAUAUUUUGAAUAAACUAGUUCAAUAUUUCUUCAAAUCAAGUUCAACAUUUUUAAUCAACUACAACAUUUCUUCAAAUCUAGUUCAACAUUUUGAAUCAGCUAGUUCAACAUUUAUAUGCAAUGUUGCAAUAGUGUACUGAAAUUGUUGAAGUAGUAUAACAAAAAUGUUGAAUCAACAUAUUCAAAAUGUUGAUAUUUUAAAAAUAAAAAAAUUAAAAUAAGAUAGUCAUGUUGGAUCUCAUUUUGGAAUAUCACGGUUCAAACGGAAUUGAAAUUGGAUGCACCAUUGCGGAGAAAAUCAUGUUUAAAAUUUGGAAAUCAAAAGUUUCUACCACCGGUAAUAGCCUGCCAGGCUGACACCUAUCCAGACUGACCUCUAGGGUGCAGCGUGCUUGCACGUGCUCUCCAGCCGGCCACGAGCGAGACGGAAACAGACGUCGCUCGCGACUCGCGUGGUUCACCGGCGGGUUAUGGCUUCUCGACGGCGUUUCGCGAAAGCUAAUCGCUUUCUACGCCGACGUCGUCGCCCGACGUCCUUCGACGGCGACUUCGGAUUGGACGAUCUGUUUCAAGAACACGCUGAGUCGAAGGAGGAGAAGCAGCAUGCCAACCACAAGAUAGGCUCCACGAUGUGUCGCUACGAGCCCCUGUUUUCUGACGAGGAAGUGGCCGAGGCGGAGGCGGCGGCAAGGCUGAAGCGGGUGGCGGAGAAGAAGGCUCGGGAGGCGGAGAGGUUGAGCGGCUGGCGGAGGAGAAGGCACGGGAGGCGGAGCGGAUCGAACGGUGCCGGAAGAAGCAUGACGACGGCGUGUGAACCCGGUUCUCCUUUGAGGACUUCUCCAGUUUCGAUCUUGACGAGGAGUGUAAGUUCAAUUUCCGUGUUCAGUUUACUUGAUCGUUUCCAAGCAAAUCGCCAAAUCAGUCCGUUUGAUUGUUUGAUCUUCAAGGCAGUGUUCGGCAAGAGUAGUAGGAGAAACAUAACUUGGAGAGUUAAUUGUUGUUUGGCAGGUUAAGCCGUCAGAACAAAACAAAUUCAGCAAUUGUGACCUACGAUCCGAGUAUUGUCAUCUAGUACUAUGUUGUGCAUUGUCACAGUCGUUCUAGUCCCUCUGUCCUUCAACUUUCACCUUUAAGUCAUCAUCUACCUUAAGUAAACUAUCAGUUCCAUCAGCUUUUACUUAUUUGCUAUGUAUGCUUACAAGUAAUUCUUUUUAUGUGCUCAAAAUUACUUAACCAUGUGGCUGUCUGAAUUGGAUUGGUUUGCAAUUUCAGUCUCCAAUGCUAAAAAGCCCUUUGUGCUAUUUUCACUGUAUACGCGAGAUCAUGAGUAAUCUGUGGCCAACAAAAUUGUGUAUACUCCUCGCAAAAAAAAAUUGUAUGCAUGAAUGUUUUCUAUUGAAUUUUAACUUCAUUAUCUCUCCUGCAAUAGUUUGAAUGAUGCUGUUUCCCUUUUCCUGCCACAGCACCUGUUCCUCCGUUGCAACAUACUAACGAAACAUACCAAACAGAGUGCAGAAUGCACUUCUCCGCAAACAUCCUUUCAGUCAAGGUAGUGUCCUCGGAUAUAGGCUUCCCAAUACAUGUGUAUGGCACUGUCAUUGCCAGAGACAGCGUCGAUAAGAAAUGUGUUUAUCUCUUCCGCUGCCAUAGAAGGGAUUCCCAGCUCAUCAAGUCAGAGGUACAAAAGUGGGUUUCCUUGUGGCGCCGUGUCAUAGCUGUCUGCUUGAACGAGAAGUUGAUGUUAACAGUUGAUUCUCAAGCUAGCAAUGACAUACAGAUUAUUCAGUUUGGUCCAUCCCUUAAUGGUGCGAGCCAACAUUAAGUUGUGCUUGAAGGUAACUUGGUCAGUCAUCACAGAAUAAUGUAAUUUAGUGAUUGGAGUUCAUCGAUGUGCAAAUUUACCAUGGGAAAAUCGUGGUCUAGCUUUUACAAUCCGUCAAUCCCAGAUUGUGGAAUCCCACAAGCUACAUCCCUUUUUAAAUCUUGGAUCAGGUAUGAUUCUUUGAUAACACAAGAACAAUUUGAACACUUUAUAAAAGAAGAAAUGAACGAACUCUCCUCCCUUCCAGUCAAUUACACUUCUCCGAGAUCACAAUUGCAAAUGGACCCUCCAAAUGAAUCCAAUACCCCAAACAAGAGACUACGCUGCCCGUGGAUCCAAUUCUUUCCCGACGGGAAGCCCUUAUUGAUGAACCUCCUGAACCAAUUCUGAUCAAACACUUUCCCUGACCCAUACAAUUCCAUCCCCAAUUCCAACUGCAUCAUUCAAAGGUCGCCGCCCCAUUGCUGUUUCCCACUCAAGCUUUAAACCCUCAAGUUGAUCGUGUGCUUGAGGUCCCCGACGUGCAGCGUGUGGCUGCCCAGCGCCACCUUCCUGUUGCCGAGCUCGUCGACGACGCUGAGGUCCCUGCACACGUCCACCUUGAACGCCACCACGCCGGCCUGCCCGGGCUCCAGGGACACCUUCUCGAACCCCAGCAGGUGCUUCGCCGGCGCGUUGUGCACCGCCGGCGGCGACGAGAACAGGAACACCGUGUGCCGGCCGGCCACCUCGCCGGCGUUGCGCACCCGGAGGUGCACGUCGAACACCAGUUUGUCGCAGUGCCCGCCCUCGGCCUCCACGGACAAGCAGUGCUCGGUUAGGCACGCGUGGCCCUCCGCGAGCACCACGGCCACGUGCGUCGGCGCCGACACGAGGUGGUGUGCGAAGCUGGUGUAGCUCAGGCCGUCCCCGAAGGCGUACACCGUGUCGCCCGUGUAGAACCGGUACGUCCGGCCGGGGUACCCGGUCGACUUGUCCGGCCGCAUCCGCAUGUCGGUCAUGGGGAUCUUGGUGAACGACUCGGGGUACCACGUCACCGGCAACCUUCCACCUGCGAUCAUCGUCGAAGCAUUCAGAACUCAUACUUAGAAAAAGUUCAGAAACGGCAGUGCACUUGCCAACGCAGUUCAGAAACGGAAAUGCAGUGCGAGGAUUACUUGGGUUGUGGUAUCCGAAGAGGACGUCGGCGAUGGCGGCGCCGCCGGCUUCGCCGGGGUAGCCGACCCAAAGAAUCGCGGCGAUCUUGUCGCUGGACUUGGCGAACGAGAUGUCGAACGGCCCACCGGACAUGAUGACGAGGAUGCAGGGGCCGCUGGACGCGUUGGCGACCGCGGACACGAGCUGCGGCUGCUGGCCCGGCAGGAGCAAGCUCGUCCGGUCGAGGCUCUCGCGCUCGAUGGACUGGUCGGCGCCGACGACCAGCACGGUCACGUCGGCGCUGGCCGCGGCCUUCGUGGCGGCGUCGAGCUGGAGGCUGUUCCCGCUGCACGCGACGUUUGUGCAGCCCGGCUGGUACACGGUGGCGACGUUCGCGCCCAGGCCCUGCAGAGGCGUCGUGUACUUGCACGGCGUGCCUGUAUGUCAUCGGCGACAGGCAUCAGUCAGGGAUCAAAUUCUGUUCUGUAACUGAACUGCAAGAAAUUUUGCAGUAAUUGUACCCUCGUAGUUGCCGAUCAUGGUGAAGCUGGCAUUGGCGUUGGGGCCAAUGAUGGCCAUGGACUUGAUGUUCUUGGCGGAGAGCGGGAGCGCGCCACUGUUCUUGAGGAGCACGAUGCCCUGGCGCGCGGCCUCGCGGGCCAGCUCCUGGUUGGAGGACGUGCACACGUCGCUGGGGCCGAGGCUGCCGAACGGGAGCUUCCGCGGGUCGCCGUCGAAGAAGCCCAGGCGCAUGAGCGUGAUGAAGUUGUUGGUGAUGGCCCGGUCGACGUCGGACUCCGAGAGCUUGCCGGCCUGCACGGCCGCCACGGUGUGCUGCGCCAGGAAGUUGCCGCAGUUCAGGUCCAGCCCUGCCGCAUUUUGGCCAAGCCAACGUCAGGUAACAUUCAACUGAGCUAUCGGCAUACCUGCUGUUUGCAUCGUCAGUUAAGGGAGAAAUGAACAGACCUGCUUUGAUCGAGAUGGCGGCCGCGUCCUCGGGUGUUUUGGUGUAGUGCUGGUUAUUGUACAACACAUCAACGGAGUCGCAGUCUGACGAAAUAUAUCUACAAAGAACCACAUACAGAGAUGAAUAUAAGAUCGGCAUUUCUGAAGAAACAUUUGAGUUUUCCUAAACUUUCAGAGUAGACCAAAACUUGGUAAUAUGGAAAGAUGUUAUUUGGUUUAAACACGAGAUAAUUGCAACUCUGCCAAAGAUAUGGAAGACUGAUCAAGAGGAAACAGGGAGAGAUACCCAUUCAGCUUCCAGUCUCCUCUGAUGACUCCUGACAGGAGAUCCUUGUCUGCGCAGGUGGGAAUCCCAUUGACCUGAUUGUAGGAGCACAUGACGCUGGCCACAUUCCCAUCGAUCACGCAGCUCUUGAACGGGGGCUGGAACGUGUCGUCCAGGUCCUGCUGCGACACCUGAAUCCACAUCACAAAACCAUGAUCAGGAUGCUGAAAUUUCGGUACAUUGACCUUUCCGGUUCAUCUUGCUUCAGAACUGUAACCAUCAACACUCCACACCAGCAAUGCCGGAGCGAGUGAUGACUGACGAAUAAUAAUGUUGCUGGGACCUAGGACUGAACCAGGCUCAGCUCCACGAUAUCCAACGGACAUGAUUAGGUUAGGUGUGCCAUUGUGUCAUGUGCAUAGCAUUCCCAAUAAACCAGUAUACAAAGGCCAAGAUGUUCCUCUCCUGAUCUUGUCCUUGGAAACACUAGAAUACAACAGUGCUCUACCCUCCACGGCACAGAAAAAUGGCACAUUUCCAGGACACCAGCGCCUGAACGCUGCCACCGAGGCUCGGAGGCAGGUUUGUUUAUGCGUCACGGUGGGUGGAGAUGGCCGUGAGAUCGUCCAUUUCGGGGAACUGCAACCACCGGAAUCUGAUGGGAUUAACAACUUCAUAACACAGACAUCCCCAGUGAUCAGUGCUGAGUGACACAUGCUGCAGCUUGUUUUGUUUGUAACCUACUAUACUAUACGCCUUGGGACAUUCCCUAAUCAAUCAUUGUUCUUUCUUAAUACGGGGGAUCAUCCACGUAUCUGCCAGUGCUUAGCCUUAUCUAAUCUAAUUCAGUGUGUUUUCUUUAAGAUAAGAAAUCAAGGUGCCCUGCCCUGCAAGAAGCACUACACGUUACGGCAACAAAAAUACUCUACUAAUAACAAGCACAGCUUUGCAGCCACGGAACUGGGCGAAACUUGGCGUAAAGGGCUAAAGGCUCAGGACAUGUACACGCUGCUGCUGUCGGUGUCGGUUAUUUGUGCACGAACUGGAUCCGAUCUACGGCGUCGCUUGACAUUGAUCACCCAUGAUCAGGGCCCGUAGGAAACGGACAUGGAUCACUUAUAAAAAGAAUAACGAAAGGGGUAAGGCUGGUGGCUGCCACAUGGGUCAAUCACCAUCUGACCCUGGCCGGACGCGCUUUCUGUGCUGCUGCAGGCUGCAGGUGCAGCCACAGCAGCAGCAGGCAGCUACAGGCACACUCGAACGUAUCCGCUACGACCCUACCAGGCAGUCAGGCUGGCUGGGCCAAUCCAAUCCGUGCAAAACUGCAAGCGACAGCCCGCCGGUGCAGGAAAAGAUGGAGCGAUCCGGCACGGCGGCGCCGCUGCAGGCCGGACCCAUGAGCCGAAGAGAGAGCAGCUUACCACGGCGUUGAAGGUGUAGCGCUCGACGCCCUUCCAGUUGUCGACGUCGUAGGCGGUGUAGUGCUUGCAGCACGCGGCGACCUUGAGGCUGUCGCCGCCGGCGCCGGAGCCGGCGUCCUGCAGGCCCGUGACGUAGCCGACGGCGUACUUGCUGGUGAGGAGCGGGUCCUCGCCGGGGGUCUCCUGCCCGCGUCCCCACCGCGGGUCCCGGAAGAUGUUGAUGUUGGGGCUCCAGAACGUGAGCCCCGCCAGCCCCACGUUGUGCAUCGCCCGCGCCUCGUUCGACACCACCUGUGCAGGCGGGCAGAUGAAUCUCGUCAGAAUUCACGGUCGCAGCGAGCGAAUCCAUCAGAAAAAAAUCAGUACAGUGUGAUGUCAAUGUGUCAAACAUGCAGCAAUAGCAAUGCAGAUACUCCGGUAGGUGCAACCGAAGAAAAGAUAAGACGCCACGACCGACAGGAGUCGGCAUUGGUCCGUACAGAGCUCAGCUCAGUGGUCAGUCCCUGCUGGAUUCUUUUGACAAGCUUAUCAGUCGGUUGGUGCUCUGCAAAAAAAAAUUUGAAAGAUGGUGCGCUACAAACUGAACCACCAUUCUAGUAGCAGUAGCUCCCCAGAUGCAACCCAAAUCCAGGCACGAAACGAGCAACACCCUCUCGAAGCAGAGGCGGCAUCGCCGCCGCGACGCGGCCGCCGUCAUUUUUCCACACUCGACGGGGACACGAGCUCGACGAUGAUGGAUUUGCGGUUGCCGUUGCGGUUGCGCUUUGGGAGAAAAGCUAAGCACUAACCAGAUGCAGAUCACACCAUGCCACAGCUUUUUUCGCUGGGCGAAAAUUCUUGCGUCCCAUGACGGACAGUGACGGCGCAGCGGAUGGACGGGAGCCAGGAGAAGUGAAGUGGGGGCACCGGGACGGCGAAAAGGCGACGUGCUAGCGUCCAAUAAAUGCAAUCCACGAGACAGUAUCGCCUGCCUAAAAGAAUCGCUGCUGCGCAUGUCGGUAUGCACUAUGCAGCUCAUGCUACGCACGCAACAAUGUCACCGAUAUUUCCAAUGUGGCCCUUGCUUGCUUUAUGCAAUCACGCCCUUCUAUGCACUAGCAUACUGCAUGUUACUCCUAAUCCAGUCAACAAAUACUGCAUGCUACUCCUAAUGCGGUCAACAAAUACUGCAAGCUAAUCGGUGCCCGUUUUAGCAUUCUGAGAUUUAUCUCCAGGUGAAUAAACUUGUACUUCUACAGCAGUGAACAGCCCCUGCUCUGAUGAGGAGAGCCCCACGUACGGUACGGCUGCUGCAGACCUUACCCGUGACAAGGGCAUGCAUAUCGUAUCCGGCCGUGUCCCGUGUGUCAAGGACGGCCGCAGACUAGUUGCAUUGCAUCCCAUUAACACUGCUGUUGGAUCAGCCGCGUCCUGCCAUGAUUAUGCUGGGUGCGCACUCUCUAAUCAGUGAUCAGUCCUUGCCUGAGCCCAGCCCCCCCCCCCCCCCCCCCCCCCUAACGGUGAGGAAUCCCAAUGAUGCUUGACGCGUGACAUUUCAAAACUAAACAAAUCUUUAGACUCAGGAUUAGCAACCAUUCUCUCUCUCUUUUUUUGUUACUCUUUUCUUGCUAGAAUAUAUCAUCUUUUUGUACUCGACCUGUCGCCAUUGUUUUGCCGUUUGAACGAGGUUCAAUGGCUCUUAACUUUUCGUGCAGUCCACUAUGAAGAACCAGAAUCGUACUGUACUACGGAGCGCGGCGCAUCUCCAUCGCCAUGACUCUCCACGAGCAAGAAACAAGGCUACAGGCCUACAGUGCAAAACUGCAAAUGCAUAGCACAGUCCUAUGAACUCUCCGAUCCAUGCUAGCCGCUCUAGGCAAGAUUACAAAUAGCCACAGCACUUUGUUUUAACCUGAUAGCAGCCGCUGCUGAUAGGUGUGAGACUGACUGCGUCGCCGGUCGAAUGGUCGAUCGAUCUAAAGACGCCGGCGAAAAGGGUCCAAAACGAAAACCAGUAGAAUAUAUGAUCCGGCGGCACGCUUUCGCGGCUUUUCUCGCCGUGCCGCAUCGCAUGAAGGGAAAGUUGGGAGGGAAAAGCAAGGCACAGCAUUCGCGUUCGCAGGGCCUGCACCGGACCGGAUCACCCCCCGAUCCGGCCGGCGCACCAACCGCCACCGCGAACGCCAGAGCUCGCCGUCAAAUCAACCACCCCCACCGAGCCACGCGCGAGCAGGAACGCGGCAAUGCAGGUGGGUGCAGAGGAGAAAGAAUGCAAUGCAGGAUUGCAGGUGAAGAUAAAUGCUACGGAACAGAGCAGAGCGUACGGGGAGGAGGGAAGAAAAUGGCAGGGGAGGUGAGGUGGGUGAGUGGGUGGUAGCUGGGGGGCUGACCUCGCCGAUGGCGCGGAAGAGCGUGACGUUGAAGGACGCCGCCGUGAGGAUGGGCUGCGGGAAGCUGGUGGCGCCGGGCACCAGCGGCGAGAACCGCGUGCCGGGCCCCACGUAGGACACGCCGUGCAGCGCCUCGGACCACCACUCGUACGCCGGGAUGCCCAGCCGGGGCAGCGCCGCCUGCUUGUCCACCAGGAACCCAACCUUCUCCGCCAGCUUCAGCCGCGACACCAGGUCGGCGGCGCGCGCGGCGGGCGUCGCCGACCGGUUGCAGAACCCGUACGCCGCCAGCGUCGCGUUCGACGCGUCGCACGCGAACACCGGCGUCUGCGCAUUGCAGCCGCUGAAGAAGCAGAGCAGCAGAGCCGCCGCCACCGCGGCCGCCGCCGGAGCCGAGAACGGAGGCGCCGCCGCGGCCAUGAUAGCUAGCUCUCUAGGUUCCUGGUCACCACCACCCCUCCCGUAGUACAGGCGCUAGCAGCGGCAUAUAUAGAGUGGUAGGAGUGGCGCGCGCGGCAGGGUGGUGGGUGUGAGCUGGUGAGGGCGCGGCCCGUGACGGGGACGGCGGGGGGAGGAGGGGAGGACGCUGGCCGGACCUUAUUUUUCUCGUCCUCUUCUUUGCUUGCAGUCUUUGCACUGUGCUUGCGCCUUGUAUUCUACCGAGUCCGUGAGGUCGAUUCUUGGAGCCAUCCUUUCUUUUGGUGCUGAUGAGUGUCUGCAUGAACUGUAUGUAUGCUUAAUGGGUCCAUUUGCAGUUGCUCUGCUCUGCUGUUUGUGGGCUAAAGAACCUAAUUAAAUUAUUUGGGUAGUCUUUAUUACUACUUAAUAAGGCCAUAUUCAACUUCAACCAUAUAGUCCCUUUUUUCUUCGAAGCAACAAUAUAGCCCCUUGGAAGCAUAUAAACUAAUCAGGCAAUAUACAGAUCAUUUAAUGGACAACCCUUCCAAAGAACCAGUUAUGUCAUAUGCUGCUCCUAAAUGAUACAAUAGACAACCUUUUCCAAGAAUCGGUUAUGCCAUGUGCUUUUCUAAAUGAAUACAUAUCUAUGUUUAGUAGGGCAACAGGAGUUUUAACGGAUCGUGUGGAAGAACUUCUAGUUUAUUUUUAUCUCGGUUUACAAAAUGGUUUCACAUAGUGUCUCGGUUGCGAAACAGGUGAAGUUGAAGCCGGUAUAAGCCCUCCUAAAUAGGCCUUUUUCAAUAUGUCCUUGAUCCAUCAUAGAGUAACUAAGGUUUUAUUUGGAUCAGCUAGAGCUAACAGCCCGCUUUAAUAGCCAGUUUAUAGUCCAGUUUUUAACUAUAUAAUUACUCAGCUUAUAAAAGAUAUAAACUGACUUCCUACUUAUUGCACUUAUAAAAAAUAGGAGGCUCCAAAUAGGACCAUAAUAGAGCAGUUGGGAUAUAAUAAUCCUAUCUCAUUCAUUAUCUUUUUUUCAUGUAUGAUAAAUUCUAACGUGUAUUAGCUUAUAACUAGCUUGACUAUCUUAUCCAAGAUGCGUCAACAAAAUUAUAUUGUUGUAGACUGUAGCCAGAAAAGGUUGCCUGAGUCUAGAUGCCACCAAGGAACCUGGUGCUGUGUUCCAAGGAAAAAAAAACGAGUUUUAGACUAGUGUUCUAUAGAAUCUAGCUUAGUCAGUGUAAUAUUUAGUCGUACAAUAAACCGCAUCUUUUAUACUGAUGUGUUAAAAUCCAUUUUAUUUGGAUUAUCGGUAUUGCUGGAUAGCUAGUUCAAUUGGAGGUUAAAGAAGACUCAAAAUAUAUGUAUUUGGGGCGCACUUGUUUCAGAUUGGGGGUAAAUGUUAUUUGGAGCUUAAAAACGUUUGAGUAUAGGCGACGCACUUCGUAUUAAGACGUAUUAGAUUUGGACUAGAUCGAGAUAAUGAUCUCGUUGUGGAGGUGCCACCACAGGAGGAAGGGCAUCGCCGGCGGGCGCGAUGAAGUUUUUUUUUUUUGGUUGCUACGACAGCGUGCCCUAAAAGUUCAGAUGAGUUUUUUUAUAUAAAAAAAAUGGUGUAUUCUUGCUUGUUUUUUUAUGCAAUUUUUAUAUGAAGAGAAGCACUACUGCCUUUUCACGAUUCAUGAAAAGCAAAGAGUACUUAAAAGCUGACAAAUUACUUGCCUUGGACGUGGAUGUGACCCGGUAACUGGGGUUGUUACCCGAGUGUAAGCAAGGUAAAGAAUAAUUGCUGGAAAUACAGAGUGCAUGGCACGGGAAAAACCUGUUGGACGCGAGGCUUGGGGCUUGUCCGGUGUGUGUGACCGACCGAGUGGCUUGGGGCCGGGAGAUUCUUCUUCCACGAAAAAGCACGGUGGUUGGCUGGUUGCCAUGGCCCAUGGAAUGGAAAGGCAAAGGCGAUCGGACAACGAGCGAGGCCACGGCUGGUUUCCUGUUUUCCAAAAACGCACCAUGCGUAUGAGAUUACCGACACGUUCGGUGGUUGGGCCACCUCGCUUUGGGGAUGGAUGGAUGGAGCUCAUCUGCUCCCCCAUCCAUCCAAAAACGAAGCUAGAGUUCGGCGUCGCGAGCCGCUCCGCGACGCUCCAAUCUCUUCGUGAUGAUCGCGGGACCAUCGGUGGUUACGCGUGCUGUUUUCAGCGGCCGUAUACGAGAAAGAGAUACGAGUGUGCAUUUGGACGUAUACUUCUCUCCUCUGGAUCGAUGAACAGGGUUACAUGGCAUCAUAUCUCUCACAUGAAUGAAGCAGAGCAUCGGCACGCAGGAACCGUGUAUCCUUGCAGGCCACAGAAAUCGGUUUCAGAUGAUCAUCGUGUCUGUCGAUGCCGUUGCUAUGGUUCAGAGAUACAGGUCCUGAUCUCAUCGGAUCUUCUCCGUUUCUAAACGGUGGUCGCAAGUUGGAUUAGCACGACGGCGAUGCACGUCGGGAUCACGCGACGGUUUUCGGGCAACUGGUCCUGCACGAAGAGGCAAUCCGGCGACCUACCGGGGUCGCACGUCAAGCAGAUUUUGCUCACAGUUUUUUCGCAGGAUGAAACGGCAACGUCGAGCCCAGAUGCCAGGUUCUCUUCAGGUGGGAAAGUUGCAUCUGAAAAAAAGCAGGGCAAUGUGCCUUGCUUUUGCAAGUCAGAGCUGCAGGCGUGGCAACCGCAUGCGAUGGAGAUAUCUUGCGUCGGUAGGAGUACGGAGGCUAUACGAUUCGGAUGACCUCCGUGACGUGAAUACGGUAGCUUCUGAACCGUCCCAUUUCCAUUCCCGCACCAUGCCGUAGAGCGUACACAACGAAAGAUGUCUGUCAGGUUGUUGCACCUCUCUGCUAGAAAGAAAGAGGAGGCGUCAGAGAGUGCAGGGUUGAUGGAAAUGCCGAUUGCUCUACAGUCAAAUGAUCCUUUUGGUGUAGCCCUUUUCGCUUCAGAAUGGCUGAGAGCAUGAUUCCCUACCAGUUAUAGGAUGAUGUAGUUGCUUGCAGUUGCAGUGUUGUAAAUCAAACACAUUUUAGAAUGCUUUAGGUUUAGGAUAGAAUGCUUUAGGUUUAGGAUACGAAUAUCGGCAUAUGUGCUACAAGAGCCUCUGCGUCAUUCUGAAGAAAGGUACCAUUAGAACCUUGAUGCACCUUUUCCAAAAAGAAAAAAAAAACCCUUGUACACAAACGUGCAAUAGCACAUGUGAUCGGCUGUGGCCUGGCCCUCCACAAGACCACAACUGGUAACACGUGCGUCCGCAAAUCCGUAGAAGUGAAACACUUCCCGUGAGGGGUUUGGGCAUGAGUGAUCCGUGGCACCACGGGCGUUGGCAGCUGGUGCAGAUCGAGCAGUGCACGGCGACAAGUGCACAGCGCUGCGGAUACACAACACAUGCUAACUGGGACGGGACCGUGGUUUCGUGGGACAGGGGCAGGCAGGACCAAGGCACGGGAACCCUGUACGGCGACGCAUGAUAAUUUUCCUUUGUCGGAACCACCAGCUGUAGCAGCUAGCAGCAGCAGCCGGAGGAGGAGGAGCCCGUGUGUGUGGUGCGUGCAUGCAUCGAAGCUAGCAAGACACCACCGGCCACCGGCCGCGCGGCCGGCCGGCCAAAGGCCAAGCCCGUGUCGCGCGUCCCCACGGCCGGCCGGCGCGGCGCCCGCGCGUAAAACGCCAGGAAACGGGCGUGGAUUCCCGUGACUCCCUGCUGCGCACCUGCGGACGCAUGCAGCAUGACCGGGUACCUCUCUGCCACCACGCGCGGCCACGGCCGCCCGGCCGGUCACGGGCGCGCGCGUAGUGCCGACGACGCGCGCGUCCUUCCGCGGGACCGAAGCCGGAGACGAACCACACACAGCUCCGAUCGUGGUCGAGCUGCCGGCUGCGGCGCUUCGACUCGGAUCUGGGGGGUGCGCGCGGCACCAUCGAUGCGUCUAAGGACGUGGUCACCGACCGAAUCCGUUGCGAAGCAAGCUACCCAGCGCGUGAGCCGUUGCUGUCAGCCGGUAUGAUGCGGUGAGGCGUGUGAGGUGUUGGACAAGACAAGCCGUUGGAGCCUUGCAGAUGAUGGAUGGCUCGUUCGUUGCUGGCGGCGUCUGAACAGUCCAUCUUCCGUAGAUCGUCACGGGGUGAUGCUGCGAGCACAGGAGAUCAAAAGAGAAAAUUACACGUGUAGGCGUGUACUGAAAUUGAUCCCCAGAGACUGCCAUGUUAGCUGGACAAGUUAAACUAGUUCUAGCACCAGCUAAGACUAGCAGCAUGCUUUUAAGUUUUAUCUUCACCUUUCCAUGUGUACUCUAACACCAUUUCGAUGACUUAUCACGCGUUUUUGUGUUCCGAGUGCCACUCUACUUCACAUCAAAAGUACGUGCCAAUUAUUCAGUUGAUUUACAAGAUGCCAUUUCAUCAUUGGUUCAGUUAGGAUAAAGGAUAUAAAUGAUGCAGGCACAGACGAGUGGCUGGUGGGUCUCCCUUGCUUGGAAUAAACUCAAUGCAGGUCUCAUAUCUGCUCAACUCGAUCAAAACGCCGCGCCACAGCAGUGCCAGUGAUAUUCUACCAACCUCUUCCAGUGUCCCAGCUGCCAGAGUUCAGAUCAGCAUGGCCUCCAGCACACCAUAUAUCCAUAUGAUCCAUCAGCACACAGCUGUCUGGGAAACAUCAUGCGCGCUGUUCUUGGUAGCGCAUCAUGAUCGAGAUGGAUAUAUCUUCUUCUGAAUUCUUAAUCGGAUAAUUUGGCUUCACUUGGAACACAUAUACUGACAAAUGCUAGCUGCUGGAUACUGCAGCAGCACCCAAAAGUGCAGAGCUUCAGUAUCUCAGGCCUAACUCUGAACGUAUUAGCUGUCCAGCAGUUGGGAGCUCAGAUCCAGCACUGACAUUUAACACAAGUGCAACAAUAGCUAGGAAGAGCGAAUGUAUGUGUAUCUACAAUUCUACAUGCCUGUCCUCUGCUCUGAUUCAUGUGCCUAAAGGCGCCACUCAUGUUAUCGCCACCAACACGAACAUCUUUGCUUAGCUAAGGGAGCCUGAAAGGUUGCGUAGCAGAAAAUAGCAUGUCUUCCUGGGUUAUGGAACAUCCUGUCGUCUGGCACUCUUGAAAACAAACUAAUAGCAGUAGAGUCACCACAUUGAUUCUUAUGUCACGGAUGAGCGUCUGUACAUUUUUCAUCAAACAUGGACACCUCUGUCAGAAUCCUGGAGAAAAAAAGCUAGACGUGUCACCGUAAGCUGCAUCCCAUUGCUCCGCGACAACUCCGGUUGUACCAUCCACUGUCAGGUCAUGGGACCAAAGUGUCACCGGAUGUGCAGUUCCCCAGAGGAGACGAUGGCGGCAUCUUCAGAUCUGGAGGAUUGAUUCCGGUCUCCCUGUUCGUCGUACGCCGAUCUGAUGCGUCUCUUUUGGCCUACCUAAUCCCAACGAACAAUUGUUAAUCACGACCAAAUGAUGCUGAUGAUUAGAGCUUUCCGAGUGAUAUAUAGUAAGCAAAUCAAGACUCUAAUGGUGCCACGUAACUAGUACGUACAACGGCACGAGUAUAAACAAACUGUACACACGAAAGAUGGAGCUGUGCAACCUGCCAAAGGUAGGUGCGGAGGCAUCGGACAGAGAGUGCCGGAAGUGCGGCGACGGCGAGCCGACGAGGGCUCCCGGCUGUGCGGGCAGUGAAAGCACGGAGAGAGACGCGGACCUGGUUGAGCUUACUUGUGUUUGAUCUUAUUUGAGAAUUGAUUGUCUAAGAAUUUAAGAUUUACUGAGAACCUGUUGUCGAGAGAAUUUGCCAGUCGGAUAAGUUGGGAGUUUGGAAACCUGAUUAUUUGGAGCUAAUUAUCUACUCCGAGCGUAAAAUGACCUGUAUGUCUCUGUAGCUAAUGAUUGAGUACGAGCAGAACAUGAUUUUAUCAAUAGUUUUGAAGUUUAUAGAAUAUAGAUUUUGAUAAAAUAAUUAGUAAUACAUUCAAAACCAUUAAACUAACCAAGACAAUCAGUGGCAGUGUUUUAUGCUAGUUCUAACAAUACUCAUUAGUUCAACAAAAAGUACACUUGAAAAGCUUCAGCAUUCAGAUUUCAUCCAUCCAAACGAAAGAGAAUGCAUAUGGCCAGUGUAGCCUGAAUGAAGGGUGUCAGAUAAACCGCUAAACAUGCACAGCUGGGUAAAUAACAUAUCGCUGAGGGCAGACACAGACAGUAAGCAGGUCCAUGUCCUGCAUCUCUCCUCUGAAAGAAAUCUGCAAUUCCAGUACGCACAUACAGGGCAAGCCAAAUUUGCAAGCUCUGCCAGUCUGCCUGCUGCCGAGCCUGCUCUCCCUCCUGCUCUGCCUGCUGCCGUCCCUCCCUCCCUCCUGCUCUGCCUGCUGCUGUCCCUCCCUUCUGCCCACCGCGCCUCCCUGGCCUGCUGCCCUCCGCCCGCCGCGGCCCCUCCCUGGGUGUCGCGCCGCACCGCACCGCGCUCCCAGGUGGCCGCGCCGUGCCUCCCGGCUGGCCGCACCGCCUGCACUGCAGCCUCUAUUCUUCGCCGGCGCUGGAGCAGGAGGCACCGGAUCUACUGGGGGAGGCAAGCACCGGAGUUGAAGCGACAGGAUCCUGGGGAAGCGGCGGCGGCGGCGGCGGCGGCGGGAGGAGGAACGGGAGGAGCAGGGGCUCGGGGGAGGAAGAGGAACGGGAGGUGGAGGGGGUAUCGGUGGUAAAUGAGUCGAUUAUUCUCGUACCGCGAGGGGGCACGCGCGUUUUGACUGAAGGCAAGCUGCGGUGGGGGAUGGGGCAUGGCGGGGCACUACCGCGCGGUCGUCGCGGCCUGUUCGGCGCGAUUCUGGCGACGCGCUGCCGCACCGCGCCGCCAACGCGGUUCCAAACAGGGCCGGCGUGAGCAAACGGUGGAAGCAGCAGGGACAAGCAAGCCGGCGUGCCGCCGUGGCGCCGUGCCGGGACUGACAGCGGUACCGUGGUCGCCGGAGUGUGAGGAGAUGAGAUCAUGAGAAGGCUUUUUUCAUUCGAAGUACUGCCGCCUGUGGUAAAGUAACAUGGGCUGCAUCAAGCAAUGGGUCUCACUUCCCUUAAGCAGCCCGCCCGACUCGCGCGCUUCUUUUUGAGGCCCAUUCAGUUCACAAAAGGACCUCUCUCUCUCUCUCUCUCUCUCUCUCUCUCUACAGGGCUCCCAGCGGCGGCCCAGCCUUGCUCACACUCCACUCUCCCUCCAGUUCUCGUCUCCCACGCCGUCGCCGCCUAAACCUUCCCCACAGCUCCACGCGCCUCUCCUCUCGCCGCCGGUCGCCGGAGAGUAGCGGGGGACUCGUGCUUCUUGCGUUUUGACGGUUUCUCCUUAUCGCUGAGCUUCUAUUUACCGGGGAAGAGUAGAGAAGCAGGUACGUUGGUAUGGUGGAGGAGGUGCAUCUAGGUCUUCCAGGUCCCUGGGCGGCGGACUACCGGGAGAAGGCCGACCACUACACCACUAAGAUCGGUGGAGUGCCCGUACGUCCUUCUUAGUCUUGUGUGUAGCUCUCCUGGUUCUUGCUUCUAUUUUUGCUUAGAAAUUAGAGGCUGAGUUAUGCAUUUUAAUCAGUUGUUCCACCACAAUUAUCAGUUUUAAUUGAUGAUCCUUUGCGAGUAUGGAAGUUUUUUUUUUCCUGAGGGAUUAUAAGCAAUGAAGCUUGCACCAGUAGUUCAACACCAAGCUCCUUUUGAUUCAUUUGCUCAAUUGCAGGAUUGGCCAACUGGUGAUACGGGCAUUAAGCCUGAAAUGCUUCAGUGCAGCUUAUGUGGAGCCAAGCUUUGUCUUGUUGCUCAGGUGAGUAUCGUUGACUUAGCUAGAAAUUAGAAGUUGAAGCGUUUUGAUGGGUAUCCAUAUGAGAAAAUGCUGUAUUGUAAUGUUUGGACAACAGCUAGUAAGCUGUUAUGAACUUGCAAUGUUCAGGCAUAGCAUUUUACAAAACCUGUUUAUAUGCUGGUCUGUGAUGAUAGAGAAUGCUUAUAUGUCAAAACUGGUACUUUCGCCUCACUCUGUUUUUGUGGUCCUAAACUCAGGUAUAUGCCCCUGUGGUGAAGCUAAACAUUGAGGAGAGGACAAUAUAUGUGCUUGCUUGUCCGACACCAGAAUGUGGGCCUAAGCCUCAGAGGCAAGUUUACGCCAAUUUGAUUCCGCCUCAUUAUUAGUUAUUCGGAUCUGGUACAUGAUUUUUAAGUUAGUUUGUCUCUUUUACUAUUCUUCUUAUAGUUGGAAGGUCCUAAGAGUUCAAAAAUGCCGUAGUGUUGAGCAAACAGAAGGUGAUGGUGAUGAAUUAGGUCAAGCGACUGGACCUUCUUCUACAAGUAUUCCAGAAGAACAGAUUGAUAAAAAUAAGAGUCUUGAUAUCAACGACGAUGAUUUCGAUCUAGAUGCCUUAGCCGAAGCGCUUGAGCAAGCUGCGGCAUUGGCAUCUAACUCAAAGAAGAAAAAUAAACCGAAGCGUGCUAAUGCCCCUAUAAAACGUCCUGUAUUAAAGGAGAAAGCAAGUGAUCUGAGCAUACCAGGUGAUGAAAAUUUCUUAAGAACUCGUUACUAUGUAUACAAACUUCGAGUGGUUUGAUCUGAUCAAAAUUUGCUGCAGUUCUUCCUUGUUUUUACAUAUACUAUGAUAAGGAACAAUACCAGGGCAAAGGUGCUGUGGGUUCAAGUAGCAACGAAUUGGUUCUAGACAAAGAAAUAAUAGACGCAACAAAUGAUGAAGAAGAAAAAUGGGAAGGAGAAAAAUAUGAGUAUGAUAAAGCUAUUGGUGCUGACAGAACUUUCUUAAAAUUCAAGAAGCGGUUGGAUGCCUAUCCUGAGCAAUGCUUUAGGUAGUUAAUAUUAACUCAUAGUAUUUUUAAUCUGAUGUGAAUGUCCACAGACUUUUCUUUGUUGCCUUUCUUGGCUUGUAUUACCUGAAUCAAUUUUGGCACACAAUAUUUAGGUAUUCUUAUGGUGGCAAGCUACUGUCAGCGGCAACAAAAUUACAAGAUGCUGGCACUUGUAGGCUUUGUGGCUCAUCACGGCAGUAUGAAUUGCAAUUGAUGUCUCCAUUAUCAUACUUUCUCCAUCAGGCUGGUGACGGUUCCUCAAAUUAUGCACCCAGCAGCUGGACUUGGCUGACUCUUAUCGUAUACACUUGCUCAAAGGUAUGGUCUUACUCUUCAAUUUCCUGAUACUGAAUAAACGGUGAAGUUUCAGGAGUCCUUAAGGUUAUGCAUGCAUGUAUUAUGUCAAAUUUGUGUAAUGAAGAGAUUCCCUUGUCCUGCUUGAUGUUCUUUAUGUACCUUUUGGAAUGGAUCAGGAAAUAAUUAAGAUAUGUUGAGCAAAACAUUUGCCAGGAUUUAAUCCAGCCUAAACUUUAGACUUCCAACGGAUUCUAUUUGUAAAAUAAAAAAGAACUUUGGAUCUGUUACUUAUCCUAGAUUCCAUCUCGAGACAUUUUCUGUCAUCCAUGCUAUGGUGAAUUGGUGUCUAUCAUCCUUGAAGAUUUAAAAGAAUUCUAGGCAUAUGGAAUCUUAGAGGUCAGAUGGGAAGCUAUGCAUUUUUUUAAGCAAAUUGGCAGAAGCUUUGCCUUUCAUUUAAGGUAGAAAAGGAGUUUACCAAUGCAACAUCACAAGCCAAAGACAUUAGCCUGGAUCCUCCCCUUUUAAAGCCACCCGGCAAGGAUUAAAUAACUGAUUGCAAAGGAAACGAUUAGCCUAGGAAUUAGGUCAGAAUGCCAUCUGGUUGGCAUUGUUUAGUAUUUCUUGUUGGUACUGAAAUGUGAAAGGUGUGCAUUAUUUCAAUGUCUUCUGUUUUUAGUUUUAUGUCGCAGCAUUUCCUAAGUUGCACUAAUUUACUGCAGAGCUGCUGUCCAUCCUCGUGUGGUGGAAAGCCUUGCAGCUGCUGCUGGGGUGUAGCUGAGGAGGACAUAGUGAUUCAGGAGGAUGAAGCCGUCAAGAACCUAAUCUGCUGAUUCCUGGUAACUGUGUGAUGUACGGCUUUAUUGACUGUCGGUUUAGAAGCCGUUCAGCUAUUGCUGGGAAGUAGACAAAUAGUGGGAGGAGAUCAUGGUCCACGAAGGAUGAAGUUCUAUCGGGAUCUAAUUUGCUGGGAAACACCAACCCUGGUUUGAGUGUGUGAUAUAUAUACAGUUCUUAUUGCCGUUUCCUGUUGUUACAGUUGAAAAGCUAUCAGCAAUUUUGUGUACCUCCUUCUGUUUUACUAGAGUGUCCUGCAAACUGUCAAAAACAAAAUACGAUCGUCUUGCAUGGACAUUAGGCAUGUCAUGAACAUUUUUGCCUGGAGUCUGAAGAACCCCCCCCGGUUAACACCAGCUGGCCGAUUGCAAGUCCUAGCAGUAUCCUGUCAGGCUGUAGCUUUUGAUCAGCGUGACAACAUUUCUGCUUCACAUGUUAAACCCUAGACGUUGCUGAAUUGUCUAAACUCCAAUCCCAAUCAAGCAAAGGCAUGUUAGCACUCGAUUAUCUGGUGAUGCGCUAUCCUGUAUGUACUACGUUCUCCUGCUGCCCCGUCAGUUCCACCAAUCUUUUCUGUCCAUGUCCAGAAUCUUCUCUCUUUUUUUCCCACUGAAAAGAAAAGAAUCUUCUUAUUUUUUUAGUUUUUUGGGGGGCUUAUAAUUGCACGAAAGUGCCGAUCUUGAUUAAAGUACAGCUAAAAAAGUUGCAGGCGCAGUACGGCAACCUGUAAUUAUAGUACAUGAACUGCAUAAUUCGUCCGCUGUAUUAUUCCCGCUGCCAACUCCAUCUGCACCGUCGUCCACGCUGCAUUUGCAACUUGGUUUCCGAAUCGCCGGGGGGGUAUGGUGCCAGCCUGCCCAUAAACCAGCCACAAUAUUAUACUGGGGGUUUGAGCCAUGUUUUCUCCGUUCCAAGAAUCUUUCUACUCCCAACUCACCGCCCGCCAAUCUUUUCGUAGCUCUGGUGAGUUCAUCGCAUUGUUUAAUUAACCCAAAACUGUUCGCUCGGAUUGGAGCCGUGUAUAAACUAGGACUAGCAUAUGCUUAUUCCUCCUCUCUUGUGAAUUUGUAAUCGAGGUCUCCUCUGCUGCAAGUAACCUGUCCGCGUCGCAACGCUUCGAGCCCAAGACGGCACGCCGAUCGUCCGACCUAACCUGACCUGAUAUCUGACCGAGAGAAUACGACGAUAACCUCGCCCUCACCGCUCGACCGACCAACCAAAAUGCGGCGCCUCGCCAUUGGGCGGGCCGGGUAAACGCCUCCGCCGGACACGCCACUCCCUGGCCUGCCUCGGGCGUGUCGUGCUCGUGCGUGCCCGGGCGGGGCGCUCGGCCGUGCGGUGAUCUGCGAUCCUGCGCUGCCGAGAACGACGAGAGGGAGAGGGGGAGGGGGACCUGCGGAGCGCUGCUCGCGCACGUAACCCGGCGUGGUCCACCCGCGUGGACGGACGGCCGUGGCGCGGCGCGGCCCAUGCGCGCGCCUUGACUGUUCCCGGCGGUGCUCGACAGCUCGAUCGGCCACGGCGGCACACCACCUCGGCCCGCCGGUAAGCCGAGGCCGAGGCGCCGACCCGAGGAGCGCCGGCUCACUCAACUGUCAACUGCCGCCGCCGCUUUCUGCCUCUGGUGUUCCUCUCUCGCCUUGGUCUCUAGCAUCAUCGAACGCGUAGGCUCGAGCGCGACUCUUCCGUCCAAGCAUACCCGAAUCGUGCCGAACGCCGCGGCGUAACACUGUUGCAUGGAGUGCAUGGACUCUUCCUCCCUAGUGCCUUCCCUUUCCAAGGACGAGCGUUAGCCGAUCGUUUGUUUUUGGCAUGUCGCGAACCGAGAGCAGUGAGCCCCUGUGACCACUUGACCCCUACCGAUGGCCACUGUGGGCAUCGCUGUCCGUCGGAAAGGUGACUGUGCGGACGCACCGGACGCGACAACGCACGGUCGUAUCGUACGUCCCGCGGGUCCAUCUGUCCAUCUCGCCUCGCGCCGAUCGGGUUGCAGAUUUCGAAGGGGGUUGGAUUUUUAGUCCAAAUUAAAAUUUAUAUCACAUCGAGUAUUUUAAGGAUUAAAUAUGAGCUAAUUAUAAAACUAAUUAUACAGACGGAAGCUAAUUCGCGAGAUGAAUCUAUUAAACCUAAUUAAUCCACCAUUAGCAUAUGUUUACUGUAGCAUCACAUUGUCAAAUCAUGGACUAAUUAGGUUUAAUAGAUUCGCCUCGCAAAUUAGCCUCCAUAUGUGCAAUUGGUUUUGUAAUUAGUUUAUGUUUAAUACACCUAAUUAGUAUCUAAAUAUUCUAUGUGAUAGGAAUUUUAUCACCCCAUGUCCUCUCCCUGCAUGAUUGGGGCCUCCAACGGAUUGGCAUCCCAACAAAGUUAACUGCACGGACACAAAUCGCAGCCAUCGUGUUCAGAUGAUCAGAUCCGUCCGUGCGUGACUCGGUUUUCACUUUUCACAGGUGUGGUCGAUCGCCUUGCUUUGCUUGUCCUUCUUCCGUUGGCUGCUGGUAGAGAUGAUCUUUCAGGCGCAGCUGUGGAGACACUCCGUAGACGCCUCUUGUUGCUCUUCUAUGGAGAGAGAUAACAUGUAGAGCGACGGCUCUUGUUCGACUACUCUGGUCCUCCUCCUAUGUGGUGAAUGGAUCCCGUCAAUUUAUCUUUUGAAAAUUUGACUAAAUGGUAUCUUUUAAAAGAAUUUACUUGAAAACAACGAUAAUGCUAUCGAUUGCAUUCGUCUCGGAAAUCCUUUCAGUAUCUCAUGAUUUUACUAGGAUUUUAUGAACUCAUUCAAAGGUAAUAACUACGUAAUAGAAAAGGUGUUCUUCGCUAGAAACAGGCAUUUCCCCCCUUAAACACAGUUUUUUUAUGAAGUUAUUGAUAAUUCUAUAUAAGUCCAGGGAUCGUGGCCAAUCGAACGGUGAGGAGGCGCUGACCCACGUGAUGCGGGCCUUCCCUGCCUGCCUCUUCUAGUCGUCUAGCUUACGUACGCCGAACAAAAAACAAACCACGAAGCUGUUCGUGGCGUCAGAUCGAUUGACGGGGGCCACGGCCACGCACCGCACCCGCCGUCACCUCCGCUGCUCGCCCGCCUGCUCCACGAUGCCCCCCGCCCCAACGCCGCCCGCGCGCGGGCGUGCAGUGCAGUACAGCCAGCCCCCGCAGCCGGCUCACCGCGUCGCCCCGCGACCGCGCGCCGUGGCUGCGGCUGGGUCCGGCCGGAGCCGAGCGCCAGGCACCGUUCGCCCCCCUCUCCCUCCUAAUCGCACGCAUGAUUAGUUGGUUGAUACCAGUAGGACUGGCUGGUGUGGUGGUGCUCCUCCCGAGCUCCCAAAAGCCAAAUUCCAUUCCCCUAUGGCAUCGGCAUGAUGGCAUAAAGCUCCCAGCUUUCCCUCCCCACGCCUCUUUUUAUCUCCCGUCCCUCCGUUCCCGUCCCCAUCGCCUCCUCGCCGGCCUGGUCUCCUCCACCCUUUCGCUUCGCCGCCUCCAGGUUCCCCGCGCCGGUACUGAUCUCCGCUUCUCACCUCUCUCGCUCUCGUGCUAGGAAAGCGCAAGCUCCUCGCCUUCUCUCCAGUUUUAAUAGUUCUUGGUGGAGAAUUGGGCUUCUCUUCGGUUGUUGAGUUCGUCUGGCAGUCCUUUUGGUAGUACUACUUGCUUGCUCUGUGCUUGUGAUUAUCGUUAUUGGAGCUCCUUCGGAUGGAGCACGUGUGGCAGUCCUUUUAGUUGUAUUACUUGCCUGCUCUGUGCUUGUGAUUGUUGAAGGGUAUGAAGCUUAAGGUUCUGUGCGUCUUUCUUUAUGAUCUAAAUGAACGAGUUUUAGUGGAAAACUUGGCAAAUUGAAGCUUUUGCUGUGACUCCUGCGAUUUUUUUUUGGAAUUUUGGUAAAUUCAUAUCUUUGUAGAGAAAUUACUCUGUAGUUAGAAAAACCCAUGCUAUAUGCUGCAACUUGCUAUGUUUAUCUUCUCUUGUCAAUUUCCGAGGCAUAUUUCUGCCAGACUUUCAAAUUCAAGGAAGUUUGGUUUUCUAACAAGCAAUUAUCUAAGGCGUAAGGGUACACCGUAACAUUUUUUGUCCACAACUGUUUAAUGGUUUCUAUAUUUUGUAACGAAUAACAUGAGCUCAAGGAUUUUUGACAAAACAAAAUGAAAUCAUUACCAUUGGGAAUUUGCAACUUCUUAUUCUACUACAUAAUUAGAGUACCAGACAAGGAUGGUCUGCACCAUUGAAGAUUUUCCAUUGCUUGGAAAGUUCAGAGUCCUUUCCUUCUUCCGUGUUUAAUCUUCUUCUUUUAUCGCAAGUUUUGAGAAUUUGAGGCUUUACUAUUAGUGGAGUUCUUGCGGAACUCAUUUUAUGACUACUGGUUUCUUCUAUGCUGUAGUUAUUGACUGCAAAGGUUAGAUGUUGCCAUGAUUGAAGUCAGCGAAUGGAUUUUAGUUGGAAAAGUCAGCAUGAUUGAAACCUUUGCAGUGAAACUUGUUAUUUUAAUGGCAAUUUGGUAAAUUCAUUUUUUUUCUUUUAGGCAAGUUCUUAGUUACAUGUAGCUAAGUUCUUUUAGGCAAUUUGUCCAUGCGCGGCAUUUUUCUCAUAUCCGUGCAAUAAUUUCUAGAUUUUGAGCUCCGUAAACCAUAAGCUCACAAGUUUCGGACAAACGAAAAAAAAAUCAUUAUAAUUAGAAAUAUGCAGCUUCUUAUUCACUGGACAAGCAUUGUCUGUAAUAUAUUUCAGCUGUGCAACUCAACUCCAGAAAGUGGAUUGUGAAGACAUGCCAUUAAGUAUUGGUUGCAAGGGUUCUAACUUCUAAAGUAACAAGUGCUAUUGCAGCCUUUGAAAAGAGGCUGCCAUUUCAAAUCAAUUAAAUAUUAUGUUGACCAUCAGAUGGCUUCCCCACAGGCAUUUUAGAUUCUUUAGUAAUCAUAUUAUUGCUUCUGAAUAUUUACCGAUGAUUUUUUUUCAUGUUACUUAACUGUAAAAUCAACUGAGUAGCAAAAUUUGUAUGCAUGCUUGUUGAGUCUACUUUCAUUAAAUUUUGGCACAUUCUUCAGGCUGCUGAAUCCAUUUGUAUUUGUAUCUCAGGUUCUUGUGGUACCCCUUUGCCUGUUUGCAUCCAUUGAAUUGGCUUGAUAUUUGUGCCUUUUAGUUUUUCUCUUUCACAUUGUUUGCAUCAUUUUUGAGAAAAAAGGAAUAUGAACUUCAAACAGCACUAGUCUUGUUAUGCUUCAAUCUUGUUUGUUAAAUUCCACUUAUGACCUUACUUGCUUCACUUGCAGAUCUUGGAGGAUAUGAAGUCCGUUUGUGGUUUGGACGUAUAAGAUAGUGUGCAUAUGAUUUGUCCGUAGUCCUGCAACCUCAUCCUUUGCCAUUUGGGAUCAGUAAGCUCCAUGCUCAUGGACAGAGCUGAUACAUCAGGUUUUGUCAGUGGUGGUAUACAUUACAUCAACAUCCAUGUGUAUUUUCAUUUCGUGUAUACUAUGUGCUUCCUCAGUGGUGAAGUUGUAAAGCUGGGAUCCUGAGUUCUGUUGGUUGGAUUGAAGCAUCUGGUCUCUAAACAGCACUUAAAUAUUUUUCUAUCAUAAUCCUACCGUAAUAAUAUUAAGCAGGAUGGACCUCAAUAUGACAAAUCUUUGGUUUCAUGGGAAAGAAAGUAUAGCUGCUGCUUCAUUCUCCCAGGCUCAACCAGCUGCAAUAAAUUGCAGGAAUGAAGAACCACCUGCGUCAGCUAUGAACUUGGGUUGUAUCGGGAGCUCAGAAAUAGCACAAAACUCUAGAAAAUCAUUUCACCAUGGCGAUCAAAGUUUGGCUGUUCCUGAUGAUAGCUGCAGACUGGUCCUUGGACUCGGGCCAACACCAAAUCUAUAUUCUGCUGAUAGUCACUCAUUUGGUGAGAAGAGAGCUUAUGAAUCUGGAACUUUGCUCACUCAACAUUGUGCCACAACCAAUUCUGGUUUAAUGUUGGAUCUUUCAAGAUGCAGCUCAAGAAAUUUACAACCUGCAGCAGUGAAUGGCAGCAGGAAUUUUUCACAUGCAAGAAAAACUGGUAUCGCCUUCCCAAUUAUUGAUGAGGGAUCAACUUCAGCCAAAAGGAAACCAGGUGGUUAUAUGCUGCCACUUCUGUUUGCACCAAGAUCAGGCGAUCUUUGUCUUAAUGGAACAUCUCCAGACAUCGAUAUCCAACAGCAUAAUGGAAUUGAAUGUGAUACCGACAGUGAUCAUGAUGGAUCUCUUAAUCAUCACGAGGUUCAGCCUAGCCCUGAUCUGUCCAUAACAACUGAUUGUUCUUUUGCUGCAACUUCUGAUAUGGUAGUCGGUACAACUAGUGGGGAGCAGAGAAGUCAUCAGCGCCAUCCAAAGAAGUGCAGGUUCAAUGGGUGCUCAAAAGGUGCAAGAGGUGCAUCAGGACUAUGUAUUUCCCAUGGUGGUGGCCAGAGGUGCCAAAAGCCAGGUUGCAACAAAGGUGCUGAGAGCCGAACAGCAUAUUGCAAAGCUCACGGAGGAGGGAAACGAUGUCAAGAGUUAGGCUGCACCAAAAGUGCCGAGGGUAAGACAGAGUUCUGUAUUUCUCAUGGUGGUGGGCGCCGGUGUGGGAGUGAGGGAUGCUCAAGAGCAGCACGGGGGAAAUCAGGAUUCUGCAUAAAGCAUGGUGGAGGGAAGAGGUGCAGGAUCGAGGGCUGCACUCGUAGUGCCGAAGGUUACCCUGGGUUGUGUAUCUCACAUGGAGGCGGUCGCCGUUGCCAGUACCCAAACUGCAGUAAGGGCGCGCAAGGAAGCACCAUCUAUUGCAAGUCCCAUGGUGGAGGCAAGAGGUGCAUGUUUGAAGGCUGUACCAGAGGCGCUGAGGGCAGCACGCCCUUCUGCAAAGGGCAUGGUGGCGGGAAGAGGUGCCUCUUUGAGGGAGGUGGGGUGUGCCCAAAGAGUGUUCAUGGCGGAACUAGCUUCUGUGUUGCGCAUGGAGGGGGCAAACGCUGCAAUGUUCCUGGGUGCACCAAGAGCGCUCGUGGUCGUUCUGAUUGCUGUGUGAAGCACGGUGGUGGGAAGCGUUGCAAGUCUGAUGGGUGCAACAAGAGCGCGCAGGGAAGCACAGACUUCUGCAAGGCCCAUGGUGGGGGCAAGCGAUGCACUUGGAACACCGGCUGCGACAAGUUUGCCAGAGGAAGGAGUGGUCUUUGUGCUGCGCAUACGACCCUGAUGGCUUCCAAGCUAGAGCAUGAUCCUGGUCAGGGAAGAAGCAUGGCUGGGCCUGGCCUGUUCAGUGGCAUUGUCUCUGGUUCAUCCGCAGCAGGUAGCAGCAUGGACCAUGCCAUCUCGUCUUCCGGUUACGCCGCGUGGUCGGACUGCGUCGACUCGUCGGGAGACAUGCAGGGCGGCGGUAGGCUCCUGAUACCGCAUCAGGUCCUGGUCCCUGGCUCAUUGAAGGCCUCCUCUUCAUGCGGCCUGGCCGGCAACGGCCCUCAGGAGGACGGAGGGAGCCGGAGCCAGAACUUCGGGCUCGUCGUGCCCGAAGGAAGGGUGCACGGUGGAGGCCUGAUGUCCAUGCUCGGAGUUGGAGGCAACCUGCGGAGCAAUCCUGAUGGUUCGAAAGCCAACAACAAUGAGCACGCCACGCAGUGAGCGCAAACAAAGAACUGAGGCUAUUUUGUGCGCCUCUGUUAUAAUUCUUGCUUGUAACGUUUGCAUGAUUUUGAUCUGGCUAGAACUGGAUGAUCAUGUGCCAAUUGGCCCUUUGUGUAACACAUAUACUGGCUAUUUACAAGAGUGCUUGCAGCAUCUAAUCCUCCUUGUGUUGUGUAUAGAGGAGCUUCAUUGCUUGAAGCUGGGUUCAGAAGUUAUACAUCAAAUUAAAGCUUGUAACGUUGUUUGUCUCUGAAUUCUUUGCAAGCCAAUUCGCUCUCUCUAUCUGGUUAUUCUUAUUCCUGAUGGUUUGUAGCCUGAUGCGUUGGUUGAUCACUGGGGAGUGUGUGACUGAGCGACUCACUGUGAUGGUCGGACGAUCUACUCCAAUUUGCGGGAACAAAAAUGAUGCGGAAACCUGAACACAUGGGAAGGCUGAUCGCGCUUACCUUUUUUUGUCGUUUCGCCCUUUCGACUGGCCGUUGGUUGAGCUCACUUAACUGAAAAGACAUCCAGGGCGUUCACUCAUCCGUUACUGAAAAACCGUGAUCGCGCACAGAAGAUCCCACGUCACCUUCCUUGAUCCGCGCGAAUCAGCGCGUGCUACCGUUGGAUGUCCUGCAAUUGCACCACGGGCGGCCGAUCUUUCUCCGCAGGUAGAAUCCGUUACCCACUGAAGGCGGGCCCCGCAGAGCACUUCCGAGAGGUGAGCCCACCUGUCAGAACGCCGGGCAUCGGCGACGCCGCACCUCACCAUUAAACCCCUCCCCGUCGGCCCGUCCCGAGGCGCUUCUCCCGCAGAGGCACAGAAACCCCUCCCCCCCCCACUCUCGGAAGCAUCGACCCCAUCGCACGGAGUCGUCACCCCGGCGAGCUAGGGUUCGGCUCCGGCGAGGCCGCCGCGCGCGCCCCCUCAGGGUCGAGUGCGCGUCCGGCCUCCGAAGCUCCCUUUCCCGCCGCCGGGCGCGGCGGGCGCCGGAUCCUCGACCUGCAACUCUUCAGUUCUCAGUGGAGUGGAGUGGACAUCCAUUCGGAGGUACGUGGAUCGAUCCUCUUCCUUCGUUGGCAGGUAAUCCCAGCUUUGAUUGGACGGAUUCCCUUGUUCUGAGCGCUGGAUUUGGUUUUCAUUUAGUUGGGGAUUAGUUUGCGGCGUGGUGCGGCUGUUAAUCCACUGCAUUCGUUAGGUGAUUCAACUAGGUUCGUCUUCUUCUUCAGCGCGCAAUGCUGACACUAGUUGACACCCGCAGAGCUUCCCGCUACCGAGGAGCGAAUGCAGCCUAUUUUUCAUGUAUCUUGGGGUUCAACUGAAUCCAUAUGACCCACCCAAUCCCCAUGUCAAGUCUAUCACCUAGUGGUGACUCGUUACUGUGAAAUAAGGUUAUUCAGCAGUGUAGAGGGGGUUAUCGGUUGUGACUUGCUUGUGUGGACGUUUUAUGUGUGACACCUGUCCAGUUUCUAACCCAUUGAUGGCAAGCCAGGGUGUUGAUAAUCGAUAGACUGGCUUGUACUAUCAUUAUUUUCUGCUUUUGUGGCUGUAUGCUAGGGUAUUGGUCUGAUUUGUGCUAUCACUUGCUCCUUAUGUACUGUGCAACGCUGUAUACUGUAAGCUGUAUAAAUGAUUUAACACCAUGCUGAGGUUGAGGCAGACAACUUUAUGGGAAGAUCCUGCAUGCAUGCAAUUGCUCGUGCCAUAUGUGUUGGUUAUUAAGGCGUCGCCCUAAGCGAAAAAAGAAAUUGAAAGAGGGAGGGGGGGGGGGGGGGUUACAUGCAGGCAGCGGAACUCUCAUCUGCACUCCCCAUCCUCACUGAUUUGGUGGCAGAGGUCCAUCUACAUGGGAGUGGGUGGAGGUGCAAUUCAAGGUCGAUGGGGAUGUGGAGGGUGGGGCUGCGGCCUGUGGAGGCCUUUGUGCGGCUGGGCUCAUGGUUGCUCCCUCUCGCCGUGGUUCAUCACGUGUGCGUGUAGCGUCGAGGACCAGGAGGCGGUGUGUGGUACUGGUGGAUAAAAUCAGGAAUUAAGGUAUGAGGGGGCAGGGGGAAGGUUAUGGCCGUUGGCUUGUAUUGGGCCUUAAUUGUCCUGUGGGUUGACUGUCUGUUAUGGUCGUGUCCCCUGGAAGCUCUUAUUUUUCCUUUUCUUGUCUAAUAUAUGUCAGUAUGAUGUCUGCCUUGCUCGCCUUGCCUUAAGCACCUAGGGGAUAUAAGAGGGGCUAAGGUCGCCAUGCAUCACCUUAUCGCCUUAAGAACAAUGCUCAUGAGUGCGUUUUCCAUACAUCAUUAAUGAUUUCGGUUUCUAGAUCUGAACGAUGCACUCUAUAUGACAUGCUUUCUGUUGAAAUGAUUAAUUUCUAAUUGCUAAUUUGGUAAGUUUGCGAUACUUGAUAGGGUAUAAGCUGCCAGUGUUUGUGCAAUGGAAGAGCUACAGAAGGACAGCGGGCAAUCACCAAACCGCUCUGAUUCUGAGCCAGAACUUAUGGUACUGGAUGAUAAUCGAGCGGAAAUAUCCCAUAACAUGGAUGAGGGAAACAAUUAUUCUCCUAUAGAUGUCGAUGAAGGGCAAUCUUCAAUGGAUGUGGAUGUGAAGGGAAAAUCAUCCCUUGAUGAUGAAUCACUUGAUGGUGAUGCUAAUGGAAAGUCUUCUUCCGAGCCAUAUUCAAAUGUUCCAAUUGACAUGAGUGUGGAAAGCCUAGAGAAGUUUUGCAAAGAAGCAUCAAGGUCUUUCUUUGAUGAAAUUGGUCUGAUUAGCCAUCAGAUAAAUUCCUACAACGAGUUUGUCUCGCAUGGGCUCCAGAAGCUUUUUGAUUCACUGGGGGAUGUGAUUGUUGAACCUGGUUAUGAUCCUUCAAAGAAAGGAUCUGGUGGGUGGAAGCAUGCCAUCAUCAAAUUUGGGAGAGUGAAGCUUGAAAAGCCUGUAUUUUGGUCUGGCAAAGAUGAAGUUGAUAUUGAUUUUAAACCGAGACAUGCUCGCCUCCAGAAUAUGACAUAUGCUUCCAGAAUUAAAGUAGAAGUGACUAUAAAGGUCCAAAGUAUUUUCAUUAUCUCUAUAUGUCAAUUACCUGUUCUUUCUCCCAUGAUUUUCCCCUAAAGUGACACACAUCUAUACAAACUAUAGAAUCAUUGACGAGGAAAUUAAAUAAAUUAUAAAAUGCUUCGGUAAGGAUGGCAUGAUCCGAAUCAUACAUUGCAGGCAACAAAAAGUUCUGCCCUGUUCUCAUAAGUAAACCUAUAAACCAAUGCCUUGGCUAUUAUUUUGCUGCUGAGAAAUAUUUACGUGCAACAUUUUGAUUGUCAAAUUCCCCUGAUACCCUAAUCAAUAUAUUGAAUUAUCUGUGAUUGAACAUUAAAUAGAGAAGCCUAGUACUGGAUGGAUGAUUGGUGUUUCAGAACAUCAUUAGUUUUUUUUUUGCACACUGGAUUCCAAUUGAAGAAUUAGGUCUUUAAAUUUUCUUAUUCCUUGUGCGCAAUGAAGCAUGAAGUCAUGCCACUGAUAUUGGUAUCACAUUGUUACUCAGAUUUUCUUACGUAUUACAGUCACCUGAUUAUCUGAUCUUGUUUUAAUUGCAUCAGGUUUAUUCUUUGGAGAAAAGUGACAAGUCUAAAACAGGGAAUGAUGAUUUUGUUCAAAAAAGGGACUUUAUGAAUGAAACUCAUUGGAUAUAUAUUGGCCGCCUUCCGGUUAUGGUGAAAUCAAAUUUGUGCUUGCUGCAUAAUCUCAAGGAAAGUGACUGCCUGUUCGAUGCAGGCGGAUACUUUUUGGUCAAGGGAAUGGAAAAGGUAUAACUCCUAAAGGGUCUGGUACUCCCCUCUUUUAAAACACAGCCAGGGGGUGCAUAUCCUCUAUGUGAUUGUCUUUUUUUGUUAAUAUAUUUUUCAAGAUGAUUGGGUCACAUGUUCAACUUUUAGGUGCCCCUUUUGUUGUUCGAGAUGAGACUAUAGAGUAACUUUCUUAGAACUGAGGCAGAAAAAUCUUAUAUGUGUAUUACUGGUAGCUCUUAGGACGGAAAAAAACAUCCACAUAUAUUUUUCGAAAGCACUAGUAGCAUAAUGACUAUAUUUGCAGUGUCGUGAAUUGUAGUUAUAUAAACAUGGGGUGCUAUCAAAAGGAAUUAACUGUGGCACAACAGCCACAUGACUACAUGAGUUGGUCUCCUGCUGGUGCCAUAUACUGGCUUCUUGUGUUUAAGCUAUAUAUAGGUCUCAAUGUGCUGCAAUAUGUUACUAGGCAUAUCAUGGAGAUUCUAAUAGCUUUGGGAAAUUUUAAUGAGGAACAUUUAUUGGAAUAACAAGGCUUGCUGACACGCUGACACCGUUUCAUGAUUAUAGAAGUAGUAGACUUCUUUUAAAAUUAAAGCAGGAAGCACUGCUAUGUCAUUUAAGUAGGAAAUAGAAGUAGUAAACUGGAGAGCUGAUUAUUUGCUAAGUUCAUAUGGAGUUUCCUUUUGGGGAGUGGCUCUGUCAGAGUAGCAGCCCUUUACUGCAAAGAGAACAUUGUACCAUAUAUAGCAUAUUUCUUCUAUCUAACUAUGCUUCCAUUUUGUGAAACCUCCAGGUAUUCAUUGCUCAAGAGCAAAGAUGCCUGAGCAGGCUUUGGAUUUCUGAUCGUCCUUGCUGGACUGUCUCUUUUAUGUCUGAAAUCAAGCGAAGACGCAUAUAUAUUAAACUAGUUGAAUCUACAAAGAGCGAUGAUUUCAGUGGGAGCAAAAUCAUUUCCAUUUCCUUUCUGUAUGCGACAAUGCCAAUUUGGUUGAUGUUUUUUGCACUAGGAAUAUCAUCAGACAAGGAAGUCUUUGAUGUGAUAGAUAUGCAAGAUGGUGAUGCUUCUGUUAUCAACACAAUAUCUGCAACUAUCAAAGAAUCUGAUGAACUGUGUGAAGGCUUUCGUAAAUCAGAUAAAGCCCGUCAAUAUGUUGACGAGUUGGUAAAAAAUUCAAGAUUUCCUCCAGCGGAGUCCUUUGAUGACUAUGUUGAUAGGUUUCUCUUUCCUGAUAUUAGUGGACAUAGGAACAAAGCACUUUUCUUAGGUUACAUGGUGAAAUGCCUGCUAAUGGCUUUCACUGGAAAGCGCAAAUGUGACAAUAAGGAUGAUUUCCGGAAUAAGAGGUUGGACCUGGCUGGUGAAUUGCUUGCAAGGGAACUUCGGGCACAUAUUAGGCUUGCAGAGAGACGCAUGGUUAAGGCCAUCCAGAGAGAUUUGAAUAGUGACCGCGAAUUACAAGACCUUGAACGUUAUCUUGAUGCAUCGAUUGUUACUAAUGGUCUAAAUCGUGCCUUUUCCACCGGUUCUUGGUGCCAUCCCUACAAAAAAACUGAACGGUGCUCAGGAAUUGUUGCAACUUUAAGGAGAACGAAUCCUCUUCAAAUGAUAUCUGACUUGAGGAAAACCCGUCAGCGGGUUGCUUAUGCUGGGAAAGCUGGUGAUGCUAGAUAUCCGUAAGUAACAUUAUUUUCAGUUUUUCACCCACCAACUGUUGCAUAUCCAUCUUGCUCUUUUGUAUGCCUUAGUGUAAACUGACUUGAAACUGAAAACCCUUACCUCCAGGAAUCCAUCCUACUGGGGAAAGCUGUGUUUUAUGUCCACUCCUGAUGGUGAAAACUGUGGACUUGUUAAAAAUCUAGCUGUUACUGCUAUUGUUAGCUCUAGGGUGGGGCAGCCUUUGAUUGAGAGCUUCAUUUCUUGUGGAAUGAGUAAGCUGAAUGAAAUUCCUACUGAGAACAUUCAAAGAAUGGAUAAGAUCUUUCUGAAUGGCAAUUGGGUUGGGUGUUGUACUGAUUCAGCUUCAUUUGUAUUGCGAUUAAGGUGCAUGAGACGCAGCAGUCUGAUCCAUCCACAGGUUUCCUCUCUUCCCAUGGCUAGACUCUUUCUGCUUUUAUUGAGGUGCUUGGUUUGCAGGUUCCAUAUCCGUAUAAUGUUUUGUUUUGUAAGAGUUUCUAUUUCCUGGUGAUGUGUCAUAGCUUUUUGCAAAGGCCAAUCUUUGUGGAUCCAUGUAACUUAUACAACCUGCCUGUUUGAUAAUGGUUUGCCUUAGAUCAUUUUUUGUCUUUGUAUUUCUGCUUUGCAAUUCUGUUGAGGAUCUUGGUGCUGUCUUAUAUAUGUUAUCCAUUUCUUGAGAAUAAGUGUUUUUCACAAUUCGGUCAAUGAAGUAAACAGUUUAAAAUCUUUUCGGGUGAAGUGAUCAAGUUGUUAUCCUAGUUUGUUCAUUAUCAAUUUCCCAAAUUGUGCUUUUGCGUUACUUUUCUGUUCCAGUUAACUGCCAAGCAUUUCCUGCCUGCCUCUAGUGCUGUGUGUAAUUUUAGGCUGCAUCCUUAUCUCGGUGCACAAAUCUAAAGGAUGUCAGCUGCUUUAAUUUGUUUACACCUUCUCGGUGGUAUAUACGAUUAUUCACGCCAAGAUGUUCUUUAUAAUGUUUCCUGUUUGAUCUAAUUAGGUCGAAAUCAAAAGGGACAAGCACCAAAAGGAGGUUCGUGUGUUUUCUGAAGCAGGGCGAAUCCUCAGACCUCUCCUGGUGGUUGAAAAUCUAAAUAAAAUCAGAAAACCAAAGGGCCGCUCAUACUCUUUCCAGGAAUUAAUUCAACAAGAAAUAAUUGAGUUCAUUGGUGUUGAGGAGGAGGAAGAUAUACAAUGUGCCUGGGGAAUCAGACAUUUGUUUGGGAGUGAAGGAGAGAUAUCUAGUUAUACUCACUGUGAGCUGGAUCCUUCUUUUCUGCUGGGAUUAAGUUGUGGCAUCAUUCCUUUUGCAAACCACAAUUUUGCUCGGAGGGUACUAUACCAAUCUGAGAAACACUCACAGCAAGCUAUUGGGUACUCCACGACAAACCCACACAUCAGAGUUGAUACUCUUUCUCAUCAACUAUAUUAUCCUCAGAGGCCUCUUUUCAAAACAGUUAUAGCUGACUGUCUUGGCAGAUCAGAUUAUACUAUUGGAAGAAGAGAUGACUUUGCUAGACCAGAAUAUUUCAAUGGCCAAAAUGCGAUUGUAGCAGUUAAUGUUCAUCAGGGGUUCAACCAAGAGGAUUCCUUGGUUAUGAAUAGGGCUUCUCUUGAACGAGGUAUGUUUAGGACUGAGCACCUCAGGAGCUAUAAGGCAGAUGUAGAAAACAAGGAUGUAACCAAACGACUGAAAAUGAAGGAAAAGAUAGACUUUGGAAAAAUGGAAAGCAAAAGAGGACGUGUCGACAAUCUUGAUGAUGAUGGCUUACCUUACAUUGGCGCAAGUCUUCAGACCAAUGACAUUGUUAUUGGUAAAGUCUCGGAAUCUGGAGAAGACCACAGUAUUAAGCUGAAGCAUACCGAAAAGGGAAUGGUUCAGAAAGUAUUGCUUUCAGCAAAUGAUGAAGGGAAGAAUUUCGCUGUUGUUACUCUAAGACAGGUAAAUAGUGCUUAUCUUAGCAAAAUAUUAACUGUGUAGCACAUUCCUUGAAUUUUGACUUCACUAGUGGGUAUACUGACCUUAUUAGAAAAUGAAUGCUACAGUUUUCUCUUGAUCUCUCUCUAUUCCAUGGAUUGGUGAAAACCAACUCCAUUGGCAAUGAUUCUUAGUUGAGUUUGUUGUCCAUUCUGUGAGCCUAACAAUAUACUAUACUUCAGGAGCUACUGAAUCGCUGCUUAUUUAGCCCAGUAAUUAUCUUGCUCCUGACUGAUUAUUGUUGGCUUAAUUGACAUUUCCUUUUAAAAAACGAACAUGGAAUUUAUCCGCAUGUAUAUUCUUGCCAUGCAACUAAGAGGAGAUAAUGGAAGAAAGACAAGCAUCAAUGUGCACUCAUGGGUACCCCAGAGAGGUCAUGGUAUUAAAGGAUUCUAUCAUACUUCAUCCUUUUAUGCCUAAAGUAAAACUUGCUAAAAAUUUGUUACCCUUUUGUGGGGUUCAACAGUUUACUUGGUUCCUUCCAUUCCUGUGUUUUUCAUAACACUUUUAAAUUGUGCCCUCCUCUCUUAGAAUUUUGAAAAGUGCCUUGUUUUUUUUUCUGCCAAUUUUAAGUUUUGCCUUCCUUUAAUUUUGGGAGAUGGAUGGGCCAGAUAGGCCGCAUGCCUGAUUGGGCCAGCAGCUUCACUCUCCUUUUUCCAUUUCCCUUAGAUUCCUUCCAACACCUGUAAUGCUACGUUGUGUAAGCAUAUUCUUCAGCCCUUUUUGGUAUACCUUCACAUUCACACAUUUUAGUUUUUGUUGGCUGUACAACAUUUUUCGGCUGAUCUGAUUUCAGGUACGAACACCUUGCCUUGGAGAUAAGUUUUCUAGCAUGCAUGGCCAGAAAGGUGUUGUUGGCUUUCUAGAAUCUCAGGAGAACUUUCCAUUUACUCGCGACGGAAUAGUCCCGGAUAUUGUGAUAAAUCCACAUGCCUUCCCAACACGUCAAACUCCUGGCCAGCUGCUUGAAGCUGCUUUGGGGAAGGGAAUAGCCCUCGGAGGUACAAUGAGAUAUGCUACACCAUUCACCACGGCAUCAGUUGAUGUUAUCGCAGAGCAGUUGCACAAGUAAGUGUUUCUUUUUCAAAUGGAUGAAUAGCUGCUUGCCUUAAUUCAGUAACCAGACUAUUGCACACUAAACACAUAGAUGAAAUGCUUUGAAAGGGUUGAGCGUUUUAGUGAGACUCAUUUAGACUUUGUAAUUAGUAAGCUUAUACAUCUUAUAAGGAUCUUGGUACAUCAUUAAUGCACCCUAUGCUCUGAACUUGCACAUCAUCCUUUAACCUUAACUCUCUAAGGUUUACAAUUGUUAUUUCAUACAACAUUUCAUAUGUAUAUAUCUUUUUAUAGUUUUUUCUCCAAAUGGUGGGAGGGUGCAGCUGUCCUUUUUUUGAACUUAUAUUAUGUAUCAGUCGAUCCUUAUCUUUCUCUUAAACGACACAUGCAUAGCAGCACUACUAGAAGAUACCAAGAUUUUAGUGUAGCCAUUCACUGACAUGUUGGUAUCGGUGAGAUGAUCAAGCGUAAUUUGCAGGGAAUAGAUCUGAAAUGAUUUUCCAAUUUUCUUGGGGUAUAGACUUGUUUAGUCAAUUUCCAAAAGUUUAUGUGUCGUAUUGCAUUGCAGGGCUGGAUUUUCAAAAUGGGGAGCCGAGAGCGUUAUCAAUGGCCGAACUGGUGAAAGGAUGCAAUCCAUGGUUUUCAUGGGCCCUACAUUUUACCAAAGGCUGAUUCACAUGUCUGAAGAUAAGGUGAAAUUCCGCAACACUGGACCAGUGCACCCCCUCACAAGGCAGCCUGUUGCAGACAGGAAAAGGUUUGGUGGAGUUAAGUUUGGAGAAAUGGAGCGUGAUUGCCUCCUCGCCCAUGGGGCAGCUGCCAACCUGCAUGAGCGGCUGUUCAUGCUUAGUGAUUUCUCACAGAUGCACAUCUGCCAGAAAUGCGAGCGGGUGGCAAAUGUUAUCAUGAGGUGCGUCCCAGGAGGUAAAAAGAUCAGGGGGCCGUACUGCGGCUUCUGCAAGUCUUCGGAGAACAUAGUGAGGAUCAAUGUACCCUAUGGUGCAAAGCUGCUCUACCAGGAACUCUUCAGCAUGGGGAUCUGCCUCAAGUUCGAGACAGAAGUCUGCUAGAACUCCUGAGCCUGUUUGUUAUCCAGUCAUGUACAUAAACCUCUGUGGUGCUGGCAUAGCAAGGAUGGGCGAGCCCAAUGAGUGAAAUGGCACCGCCGGCAGGAUAUCUCCAGCCGGUGGGGGGAUCUAUAUCUAGUUUGAGAAGAAACCCUGUUAAAACUAAACCUUGUAGCGUUUAUGUGCUGUUUCACUCAGCUCAUCUGGUAAACUAUGUCCAAGUGAAUGGACUCUCGUUUCGUGUUUCCUUCCUGAAUUUCUCUGUUGCAUGCCGCCUCGUUUGAACAAAAAUGUGUUGCAUGCCGCCUCGUAUGAAAAAAAAAUGUGUUGCAUGCCUUCUUGUUCGAAGAUUUCUUUUCUUAUGUUGGUGCUCCGUGGGGAUUAGGAAAUGAUGCUAUUGGAGCUUUGUGCUUACUGCUGAGCUUAUUGGUGCGAUGGAUCGUAGGUUAUGCACCAUGAUUCAUGACUCCGAUUAUUGAAAGUUCAGAAGCAAAUGCCGCUUGACGUUUGAGUCUGCAGACUCCAGUCUGCAAAUUGAGCGUUUUGAAACUGUCAACAGAUUGUGUUAGAACUGCACCUGUAUAGUAUAGUGCAUUGGAAACGUUGAUCUGAGUGCCGUUUUGUUUGGACUACCGAAUAAUUACUAGGUCGAGUUCAUCCUAGUUCUUUGGGGGGAAAAUACAGAAAAUGUGCAGCUGUUGGCUAGUGAGUCAUUCCUUGUUUCGAAUCUGCAAUCUAAAAUGAUUGGAUCUGCUGCCGGCUACAGAAUACAUAUUCCGUCACCAUUUAACCAAAAAGUAGGAUCGAAGCUUCUCUUCAUUCUCUUAAAAAAAGACGAGCCUCAACUUCUCUUAUCAGCAUCAAGAAAAAGCUGCAUGAUAGAAGGUGCACAUGCAUUUUGCAUUUCUGUAGGCGAUCCAUCACAAGCGCAUAUAUACACAGAUCACAGAAGAAGCUUGGACAAAAGAAAAAUCAAAUGAAAAGAUAUCAAGAAACAACAUAGCUUCGAUCGAUCGUUACUCAUCGACGUUUUAUUUGCAUUGAUUGAUACAAAUCAAGAUACAAAACGCAUGAGGAUGAUCAGAGACUAAUCCAUGUCCUCCCCAUGAGCUCAAACGAGAAAGAAACUAGAACAGAAAACCAGAUCCUCUCUACCUGAGGGAACAAACAGCGGGUACCAAGAAGUGAAUGGGGGAACUCCAUGCGAGGCCUCUCCUCCUACAGGCUACAGCUUGAGGAAGAAGAAGGGUGCUCGAUGCAUCUUUGCCUAUAGCUUUACGAUUGAUGCCUCUCGAUCCAAAGGUACUUAUACUACAAAUAUCCCGCUCUCCAUCGCCCCAAAGUCUUUCUGAUAGCUGGUGGAACAAUUUGGACCUGGCUUUGAAACAUGUCGUGAGGGGUUUGAAAGAUGCAUGUCUCUUGCAGUGACAGGUCAGACAGGGAGAGCGAGGGAUCGCGUACAUUGAACCUGGACGACCCUCCUUUAGCUUUUGCGUUUGGGGUACAUGGUUUCUGGCCUUUUGGGAUUUGGGAAUACGAGUCAUUGAUUCUCUGGUGUCGUCCCGUCCCAGCUUUUUCUUUGCCUUUAUGCUGCCUGCCCAUUCAGUCACGCACAAUGCAACUAGCCCACU